UCUGGAAACAAGUUGUCAGGCACCAUACCAGCUAGUGUUGGGAACUGUAUAUCGUUGGUACGGCUGCUGCUCGAUAACAACUUAUUAGAAGGAAGCAUACCUCAAUCUCUGAAGAACUUAAAAGGUCUUGCAUUACUGAACCUAACAAUGAACAAGCUAUCUGGUAGUAUUCCUGAUGCCCUUGCUAGCAUUGGCAACCUGCAACAACUGUAUCUAGCACACAACAACUUGUCAGGUUCCAUCCCCAAAGUUCUACAGAAUUUGACAUUGUUGGCAAAACUGGAUUUGUCAUUCAAUGAUCUGCAAGGCGAAGUGCCAAAAGGGGGUCCUUUUGCAAAUGCAACUCACUUGUCAAUUGAUGGAAAUGAUGAGCUUUGUGGUGGAAACCCUCAACUUCACUUAGCUCCGUGCUUCACAGCUGCUGCGGGGAAGAACAGAAGGCGAAUGUCAAGGUCAGUUAUGGUCACCGUAGCGUCAAUCUGCGCACUUCUAUUCUUAGGUUUAGUAGUUUUUCUUAUCCAUUUGAUCCACAAGACGCUCAGACAAGGAAAGGAAAAUCAACUCAUUCCCACAGUAAUUGAUGAACAGCACGAAAGGGUUUCAUAUCAAGCAUUAGCAAAUGGGACUGACCAUUUUUCGGAGGUUAAUCUGCUCGGACAAGGAAGCUAUGGUGCAGUUUAUAAGUGCACUUUACAUGACAAGGGAAUUACCGCAGCUGUAAAGGUAUUCAACGUAUGGCAAUCUGGUUCUACUAGAAGUUUUGUGGCUGAAUGUGAGGCACUGCGAAGGGUGCGCCACCGAUGUCUCAUAAAGAUCAUCACCUGUUGCUUAAGCAUUGAUCACCAAGGCCAAGAAUUCAAGGCACUGGUUUUUGAGUUCAUGCCCAAUGGUAACCUAAAUGGUUGGCUGCAUCCAGCAUCCAAAAUACAGAGUCUGAGCAAUACGCUCAGCUUAGCUCAGAGACUGGACAUUGCGGUAGAUAUCAUGGAUGCUCUGGAUUAUCUUCACAAUCAGUGUCAACCGCCUAUUAUCCAUUGUGAUCUCAAACCAAGUAACAUCCUCCUUGCCGAAGAUAUGAGUGCUCGGGUUGGAGAUUUCGGCAUAUCAAAAAUCCUUCCUGACGACACUAGCAAAACUCUGCUGAAUUCAGUUAGCUUCACUGGACUAAGAGGUUCCAUCGGAUAUGUCGCUCCAGGUAACAGAAACUAACACUGAUAUUGCUAUGUUCAGUUUUUUAACUUCCAUUUUGCCAAGUCCAGUUAUCUCGGCAUGCACGUUCAUAAGUAGCUUGCCAUGAAUCCACUGACCAAAUAGUGUCUGAAAUCUGAAUUGACUGCAGAGUACGGCGAGGGUCGCGCUGUCUCAACUCUUGGAGAUGUUUACAGCCUCGGCAUACUGUUGCUUGAGAUGUUCACCGGGGUGAGCCCUACUGACGACAUGUUCAAAGACUCCUUGGACCUUCAUAAGUUCGCCGAGGCCGCUCUCCCGGACAGAGCCUUGGAGGUAGCCGACCCGGCAAUCUGGCUUCAUGAAGAAGCAAAGGGGAAAGACCCUGCCACGGUGAGAAGCAGAAGCGAGGUGUGCUUGGCUUCAGUGAUCGGGCUUGGCGUGUCCUGCUCAAAGCAGCUGCCAAGGGAGCGGACGGCGAUGCGGGAUGCUGCCGCUGAGAUGCGUCCGAUCAGAGAUGCCUUCCUGGUUCAAUGUGCAACAGAGACUUGGGCUGCAGUCGGCACCACCGGCCUUGGAAGCGCAGACAGUUGAAUGGUGGACGGAGCUACGGUCUCUUGACGCACCAAGGAGCACCGGACUAGCAACUCUGCAACUAACAGAGUGGAGAAAGCGCCCCUUAAUGAAAAGAAAAACAGCCGGUGCAAGGCUUUAUACAAAGAAUGUGACAGCCACUGCGUGUAUCCGAGGCUUUAUACAACUCUGCCUUAUCUAAUCUACCGAGGAUUGUUGCGUAUGGAUGCGUAUAGAUUAUGCACGUACUCCCUCCUCCGUCCUAAAAUAAACGCACAUCUCGUUUCUCGAGGAGUCAAACUUUUAAGUUUGACUAAAAUUUAUAAAAAAAAUGUACUACUAUUUAUAAUGUAUAAUAAAUGUCAUUAUUGAGCAUUGGGUAUACUUUCCUAAUACAUUUAUUUGAAGAUGCAAAUAUUGUUACUAUUUUCUAUAUUCUUAGUCAAACUUAAAAACCCGUCAUGGGGAUUAGUCACGAUAUAAGUAGGGACUAGCAAGCAUCAAAACCCCAUUCACUGCCCAUCUAUCGCUCAAAUAAAAGAAACCAUUGCAUAUGGUGGCGAUGCGCUCGCGAGCCUUUCUCCAACCUUUCUGCUCUCGCGAGCCUUGAACUCGCAUGGAACAGUUUUAGUGAGAGUGUGCCUCCAACUUUGGGAAGAUUGUGAAGCCUUAUUUACCUGUCCUUAAGUGGCAAUAAGUUAUGAUCGAAUGAUAAGGACGGAUUGGAAUUCAUCACCAUGCUAGCAAACUGCAGCCAGCUUCAGCAACUGGCUUUUGAUAAUAAUUCAUUCAUCGGUGAACUUCCUAGCUCAAUAGCAAAUCUAUCGACAACUCACCAAUUACUCUAUAUAGGAAACAAUUGGAUUUCGGGAUUUAUUCCAUCCAGCAUAGGUAAUUUGCUUGGUCUAGAACUGCUUACGUUGGCAAAUACUUUCAUAUCCGGAGUGAUUCCAGAUAGCAUUGGUCGCAUAGAAGACAUGUCCGUGUUAGGCAUUUACUACGCUAGCUUGUCAGGCAUCAUACCUUCAUCACAAGAAACCUUACACAGUUGAAAACUCUAUGCAUACGAUAGCAACUUGGAGGGUCCAAUUCCAGCAAGCUUGGGGAACUUAAAGAAUCUUUUUGUUCUUGAUCUUUCAACGAAAGUGUGUUACCCGUUAAGAUUUCAUGUCGAAGCAGAGCAUAAACCUCUCUCAAGACUGCAAAGCUAUCAUAGAGCAGAUCAGUCUGAGGGCCGGGCUAUGUACCCUUUCGGUAAGAUUACCCCAAACUAGAGUCUGUAAUUAAUUAGCCAAGACUAGAAUUACGUAGUUCUUGUGGUUGUACUGUUUUCCUGGGUGGCCGCUCCAUGUUCCAAUUAAGCAUGAUGAUCUUGUAUUAAUAAAAGGUAUAUCAUAAAUAAAACAAGUUUAAUCAUUGAGUUCAUUAAAACCAUCACAACCCAAGGUAUUGCAACUAAGCAUAUCUACCAAAAAAAGGGUAAAACCCAGGUUGACAAAGAAUGAUCAUAAAAACUAGGUAAACCUUAAUAGGGCCCAUCAAUUUUAAGUGCACAGCAAUGCAAAAGUGAUUAAAUAUAGUUAUUGGGACAAAAGCACAUGGACACACUUGCCUUUCUCCAAAGAAUAGCUGCUCUGAUUAUCUUCAACUCUUGUUCCUCAAAGCUCUCGAACAACGUUCCUUAUACUCACAUCAAUCAUUGGCACAAGCAUACAAAGCAAACAACAAUCACAACUAAGAACAAUACAUCAAUCAUAGGAAAGCUUUAAAAGAGCGCACUAAAGGAUAAGGCUUGAAUCUGAAACACUGGGAACUAAACUAUGGUUGAAAUGACAAAGCUAUCGAGAGAUUUGAAUUAUAAAAGAAAGAGAAAAGCCUAUGCGCUUCAUAUAUUUCAAUAAAGAAAAUAAUGUAAAGAUAUUUUAGAGAAACAUCCUUAGCAAGUUAUAUUUAUAUAUGAAAAGAUAAUGUAGAACUUAGUCAAAUUUUAUUUAUAAACAUUCAAGUACAAUUUAUGCAAAUUAAAAAUUUAAUUUGAAAAUAAAGUAUAUGGAAACAUCUAAGCGCAUAGCUUUAUGAUUCGGGUUGAACUAACCAAAUAUAAUUCAAAAACAUAUUUAUAUUUAUAUUAAGUCAAAUUAACAUAUAAUUAUGAAACCUCGAGAUAUAACUUAUGUAGCUUUUAUUUAGAAAACAAAUUGAAUAAACAUUAAUCAAUUUAAGUUCAAUUAUGAACCACCGUGGUGCAUCUCUAAUUCACUUUUAAUUGAAAGAGUUAUUUAAAUAAGCAUUAACUAAAUUAAUAUUUAUUAUGAAAAGUGGUUAUAACACUAAGUAGCUUUUAAUUAAGGAAGGCAUGUUUAACAUGCAUUAAUUAGAUUAAUAUUAAAUUUAUUUUAAAAACAUGCAUGAUGGAAAGAUCAGUACUAACAUGUAAUUUGUGUUAUCACGAACCUAACUCAACAAGAACGGAUAUAAACGGAGCUGUAACGAGGAGUCUAUGGGUUAAACAAGGUUGCAGGGCCUAAUCACGAUUAACGGAAGGUUGUUGGGGCUAGCAAGGAAGAUUUGCAAGACACUGGAAUAGAGCUCGUUAUUAGGUCAAAGCAUAGGGUUAGAUCUGUUAAAGUGCUCAGGUUGGACUUGGUUGCACGGAUACAAUCUAAUCAGGGACAUGGAUGAAAAAAACAAGACACAAGGAAAAACUAACUAUAUAUAGAGCUUUCUAGGGGCCUAUGCGCAAAAGCACCAUAGCUCAGCAUCCAUGGUGGACGGGCUCCUUGACGGCAAAAUCCUCAUGCUGGAUUUAUAAGCCUGGUAGUCCACCAAGGGGUUUCCCAAGUAGUUGAUUUGUAGGUGAGGGUGAUUGUGAAACCAAGAACUCGAAGGUGAUUGUGAGAACACGAAGGGACACAAAGGUUUUAGACAUGUUCGGGCCUCCGAAGAGUAAUACCCUACGUCCUAUAUGCUGGUUUGUAUUGCUUGAGAUUGAUGUGAUUGUUGCGAUAUCCUCGGGGGUGCCCUUGGCCACCUUAUAUAGGUUGACGACCAAGAGUUAAAAGUCGGUUUGAAUCUAAUCUACUCGGUAGUUACAUGGAAAGUAAUCUGAGUUGGACUACAAUACACGUUCCAUGAUAUCCGAGCAGAUUUGAACUGUCUUGUUGCCUUGACUUGCACUCCAAGUAACUUCAUAUCCUCGGCCCACACGCCCUGGUCGAGCGAGCCCUACUUGUCAGGUUCGGCCAGUAUCCUGGUCGGCUGGGGCCCAUGGGGUACCCAUUUCUCUCAAGCCCCCGAGCGUUGUGUAGGCAAAUAGAAACUUGAGGUCACCAAAACGAAACUUGAAAUGAAGUCGGCUGAAGCUGCGAAGGCGUCAUUGCGACGGAGAGGCUGCGCAGUGCUUAAAAGAAGAAAAUCUGAGCAAACACAGAGCCAACGCGUAGAGCGAAGACGAGUGCCGAGUUGAUGGAUGCUGGCAUCCAGUAGGUCGGAGCGAAGGUUACGGAGGGCGUCGCAAGAGAAACUCCGUAGGAGUAGCCCCCGAGCAUUGAAACGAUUAAGAUAAUCGGUACAUUGGUCAAAGUACAAAAAAUUAUCCCAUGAUGUAGAUCCUAGUGCUCGAACACAAGGAUGGGUGCAGCCAUGGAGGCCCGCCCACUAGAAGUAGGCACCCAGACCCAAGGACGAGGACUGAUAGGACCGCGUAGCCACGCUGACCUGAAAUAGGCGUCCAACCCCCGAGGACGAGGACUAGCGGAGCCGCGGAGGCAUGCUGACCUGAAGUAGGCGCCCAGCCCCCGAGGAUGAGGACUGGCGGAGCCAUGAAGGCACGCCGACUUGAAAUAGGCACCAAGUGUAACAACUCUACCUAAAUUAAGUGCUUUUAAAUAUAAACUAGUGGCUAAUCACUAAGUUAAAGAAGUAAAAUGACCAUUUUAACCCUAAGAAGCUCUUUUUGGAGUUUGAAAUAAAACUUGGAAUUUUAUAUGCAAACUUAAAAUUUUGCCCAAACAAGAGUUGUAAAACUUUCAAUUUCAAACAACUUUUGUUAAACGAACUUUGACUAAUUCAGAGUGGGAGGAAGUCAAAAAUAGCAAUCAAAACUGGAGUACUAAAGAACCCUAUAAACCUCCUAAGUCCUGGUUUUCAAAUUUUCCCUCCAACUUUGCAAGCCUUUAUCUCAUGAUUUCUUAUCCAAACUCAAGUCAGGCUCUUAAUAAAAGUUGUAGUCCCUCGAGUGUGUUCCAACUUUGUUACACUGACCCAGGUCCAAAUCGGGCCAGAACCUGUUCAAAAUCUUGGUCAAAGUGAGGUAAAACAGUCAACUCAUCCCUUGAGCCCCACAACGCUAAGUCUGAAAAACUGCUCAGAGUGCACCUCUUGGCGAGGGCGUUCCUCCAAAUUUUUGAACUAAACUCAAGAAAUACCCUAAAUAAAAGCUUAAACCCAGGGACCCCUACGUAGUUAAACCUUAAACCCAGGGGCUUGCUUGCAACUUUGUCACAGCUUUUCUUUUAAAUAAUAGGCAGAAAUAUGGUUGAAUUUUGUAAAUGCCCAGUAAAUCGUAGAAUAAUCAUAAAAAUGCCAAACUACUUUUGCUAGAAUCCUUUCUCUGUCUAGUUCCUAAGAAAAAUAAGUUUGCUCAUGUUACUGUUGUAAAUAAUAUCCUACGCUUUUAAUCAUGUUGUAGGCCUUUUAAAUCCUAAUAAAUAGAAGAAAAGUGGGAAAAAUGUGGAACCAACUCUGUGAUGCUUGUUUCUAUGUGUAGAAGCUUAGAAAAAUAGUUAGGGCUCUGGUGUAGCACUUUAAGUCACUGUUUUGACUUUAAAUUGGGAAUCUAAGUAUAAAUCUUCCUUUUUGCAUAAGUUUUGAUCUAGAGCUUAGAAAAAUGUGAAACUAGUUGGGUUAAUUUUGUUUUGCUGUAAAGUUCUCAGGAAAAAUAUAAAUUGUUGUGCAAAUCAGAAAUAAAAACACCUUCCUUGCUAAGCAUGUUUAAUUAAGAAAAGAAAUAGAGUAAAUAGUAACCUUGUCCAAAAAUUACGAAAAAAUUCACCAAAGCACCUGUAACAUACCCUUAACACACUGCUUAAGUUUCACCCUCUGUUGCACAAUAAUUUUGAAGAUGGAAAAAAUUAAGCUCAGUUUACCUUUAAUAAUAAAAUGCAUGUAACUUCUUUUUAAGUCAUCCUUUGGCCCCCAAACUUUUACAGUAACCUAGUGAUGGCUUAAGUGAGGUGCUGUAAUUUUAUCAAUGACUUUAACUACUUUUUGGAUAUGAAGUCAUUUUGGUUAAUUAAUCAACCUAAAGGAAUAAAAGGAGAGCGCGAAUUCUAAUACGAUAAAUAAGUGGACACUGAAAGAGGUACAUAAAAACAUUCAGAAGUAAGUAAUUAUUCCAAUGCAUCCAAACCACCCAACACGACCUUUCACACUCUUUAUGCAACUCUAAAUGCAAGAAAGCUAUAUAUGUACACAAUCGCCAUUCAACGCGAACUCAAGUUUAAAACGACCACUUUCGUUUGAAGUUAAAAAAAGUAAACCUCAUCAAAGUGUUUGUGGCUGUUGUGACUCUUGUCUUAAGCCAUGCCUUGUGUCGUUGAAUAAACGCGCGAGUCCAACUAAAUUUUUGUAUGUGCAUGUCGUAUAGAAGCAACUCUCGCCGACGGAACCUACGAGCUCCACCCGGCACCAGAGAAAGACCCCGCUACGGAGCUUCACCACUUGGAAGGCGAGCCCGAACCGGAGCAAGAUCCUGAGGACCCGCUAACUUUUCCUGAAGGCAAGCCCCGGAGCAUAAAUUCCUAUCUUUGAAUACUUGCAAUAUUAUUGAACACUUUGAUUGCGCAUUUACGUUUCUAGGAGUUGUAAUGAAACCUUAGAUGCAUGAACUUAGUACCUUGUUUGAAUACUAGUUGCUAAAGUCGAGUAGUUGCAAUGCUUAAUAGGUUCCGGUAAAAGUCGAGUGAUUUCCUAUCACUCGCGAGUUAUAGGAGUUGAAUGUUUACUUAUGUUGCAACUAUAAGGACGAUGGAUGUGGUCGGGCUUAUGUUCGAUACUUGGUGGUUUUUCCCCGUCUGUCUAAAGGAAAUUGAUCUAAGGUUGAAAUGUGUCGGCGUUCGUGAUCAAGUGUUUGAAAGUACUAAUCUCAUACCUAGUAUGGGAUGGGGAAGCCUAGUACCUGAUUGAACUGGGGCAUGGCAUACUCCCCCAGCUGCCUUGGAACACCGUUCCCAUGGUGCAUCAUGUGGGUGCAAGUGCGGUCAUAGUACGGCAGAGGCCGGGAUUAUGGAGCAUGGCAUGCCAAAGGCAGUUGGCCCUGACACGUGCCUAAGGGAUCGAUGGGGACGGCUGACAAAUGAAGCAACCCUUCGUGGUGCGCGGAUGUCGUGAGAUUAGGUUCGCCAUGCAUGGUUAAUAAAUUCGAAUCGAUUCGUCUGCCUCUCACAGUUUGGGACUACUUGAUCGCUAUUCUGCACUGAGUAACGAUGAAACAUGAUUACGAGAUUAAGUUGAUGCUUGUUAUUUAACUGCUUGGAAAUCAUGCUUGUUUAGCAUAAGUGGCUAAUCUAGAAUGGUUAAAGAACGUAGAACUUGAGCUAAAAUAUUGAAAGUAAGGACUGAUUGUAGACGCUUGUGGCAAAGAAAUCGCAGAGCCAGAAAGCCUUGCAUGUCUAGGUCUUGGUAAAGCUUUUCACUCGACGGGUCAGUCUUGCUGAGUAUUAGUUGCUCAGCCUUGUUGUGGCUUAAUCUUUUCCAGUGAUGUCAAUAGUUUGGUUGCGGGCACCACUUGGCCUACCCAGCUCCCUCCGGGCUGGACAGUCGAGUGGGAUCCCUCCUCGGACGGCGAGGGAAGGGAUUUUUGAUGUCAUGAUUGGAUCCGUCGUGAUGUCAUGUAUCGAUGUUUAGCUUCCGCUUGUUUUAUCCGACUUUUCGAACCUUGCAACUUGUUUGAAUUUUCAGAAACUCUGAUGUAAUAAUUUGUGACACUAAGGAAUGUGAUGGAAUGUAGUAAUCUCUGUGCUACUCACCUUCAUGUGAGCGAUGCUUCUCGAUCCUGUUUAGGUGGUUCAUCGGAUGAAAUCCAACGGUCGACCAGUUUGACUUGCUUAAAGUGCAUAAUCGCGUGUCAGGCGACUUCAACGCAUUUUAGUCAGGUUAAUUUGGGUGGUUCCGCCACAGCUAGCAUCAGAGCUCGAAGCACGGUAUGGAGAACAACAAACCUUAAAACACUUUUCCUGACUAAAACUUGCAAGAAACGAGUUGAAAAAUUCGUAAGUUCGUUAAGGAUGAAUUUAGUACGAGGAGCCCUAGGGGAAUUUUGGGUCUUUUAAGGUGGCUAAUAAUUAUUGGUUAUCUUCUGACUUCCAGCACUUGUUACCACGUCUAUCAUACGUGUGCCGAGAUCUGCAUCGCGAGUGUGCGAAGGGUGAUAGGAAUUCGAUUCCAACGAGCCUAUCAUCACGGUUGUUUCGCCCACGUCUAUUAUACGUGCGCAGGUUCCGUAUGUUAAUUCAUGCGAAGGAUGGUAUGGUUCGAUUCCAACGAGCCUAUCAUCACGGUUGUUCGCCCACGUUUAUUAUACGUGUGCAUGAUUCCGCAUCACGAGAAUGUGAAGGGUUAUAUGGUUCUAUUCAAGGGAACCUAUUUCCACGGUUGUUGCGCUGUCCAUGCAGCGUUAAACGCAUGGGUGCCGUUUCUAUAGUGAACGGUAAUGAUUGUGGACGCUUUUGUGAGUACUGGCACGGAAAGUUCAAGCUAUGAUGUGUUUUUCUGCGGGUACACUAACAACGUUGCGUACGAAACGAUGCUUAGCAACUCGACUAGUUAUUAUAGUGAGAGUCGUAUUGUUGCCUUGCCACCGGCACUAACCACGUAAGUUCAAAGAUUUUUGGCGAUUAUUUUUGGUUGAGAGGAUGACUAGGACGUGCAUGCAUUAAGAAAUAAAAACCGCAACCUAAGGAAAUAAAACCAAGCUCGAGUGUGUCGUAAAAAGAAAUGCACCGCGAUAAGGAUCGUCUAGUUGUCCUUUUUUUUCCGCCAUGCACGUUUAAAUAAAUCUUUCAGGUUGUUCCAUAUGAUAACUUCAGAAACUUUAUAUAAGAAAUUUGUGUUAAAUCUCCCAAGUAAACUGCUGAAAAUUUUUCACAAAGUACUACCACUUGGGUUGAGAGUUGUGAUCAGUUUUGUGACCCCCUGUUGGCUGUUAGCCCUGAGUGCACACCAGUUGGAAUUCUGCUGUUUCGACCACCUUAAGAACUUUUUCUGCUAGGAGUCCCUUAAGAAACGUUUCUCAAAACUUAAUAAAGAACUUACUGGUAAAAUUGCAGCUUCAUUAGGUCUCUUGUUUUGAAGUUAUGUUCAGUUUACUUUGACUCGGGUCUGAAAAAUUCUAGCAUGUACACUUAAUGGGAAUCUGAGGUUAUCACCUUGUUAGGUCCUGUUCUAGCCCUACCUUUGAAUACCAAACUUGUUACGCACUAUCUAAAGAACAUGCUGGUAAAAUUUGAGAAAUUUUGGAUGAAUAAUUGCUGAGUUAUGAGCUUUUCUCUAACUGCUAGAAAUCUGUUUUGAUUUCCAAGUGUUAACUCCGUUUCUCACUUGUCCUUUGGUUACAGUGGCUCAGCCUGUGCACGUUGCAGUCGGUACGGAUGGCACCACCUACUCACGGUGCCUUCACUACGAGGGUUUCCUAGCCGUACUGUGGGACACCCUGCGCUCUUUUGGGUACCCGUCACCGCCAGUUUACGCGGGACGUGCAUACCAGGACCGCGGGAUUCCGCGGAGUCGCGUGCACGUGCGGGUGCCCCCGCCUCCGGGUCAGCCACAGUGUCCGCUUUUGGAGGUGGUGGCCGAGGGAUAGACACUACAGGACACCUGGGAGUUCGCAGCCUUGCAGACCCUGACACAGUUUUGCCGGGCACACCCUCUUGAGAUCGUGCUGGACCCGAUUGGGUUGUGCUCUGCUCGGGAUACGAGGGACCCGGAUUGGUUGGAUCGUAUGGAGCAUAUGGACUUACUCAGGGUUAUGGAUCCACAACGCACGAUUUUUGUUUCAGCUCGUUGCCUGAACGUGUUCUUCCGGAUGGUUGAGAUGCAGAGCCGAGCGAUGGCUACGGUGAUCGGGAUGGCAGUGGCCAACCAGGUCGCUUUAUCUGCCGUGCAGAGUGGCAUGGUGGACCAGUCGCUUGAGCUAGUACAGAAGGAUGUCCAGAUUGCUGAGAUGCAGGACAAGAUCACUCGUUUGGAGGAGGAGAUUGUGGAUAUGGAGCAUGAUAUGGAGAUCUUGGCUGACCAGUUCUAUGAUGUGAACAUGGAGCCGGCGAACGUCAAUGAGCACCUGCAGGAGCAUCACGAUGAGCUUAAUGCCAUUCACACCUUAGAGAUGCAGCAGGAUGAGCCGAUGGCCCAGGAGGAGGAGCCUGAGGAGAUCGAGGGCUUUUCGAGCAUGGACUAUGAGGAGGCCUCUCCGCAGCCUCCAGUUGGCGAUGCUCACUCUCCUGCCCUUAGCUUUGCCUCCGUGGGCAACCUCGACGACUUCUAGUUGUGUUGACUUGUUGUUGAGGGGUUCUCUUUUGUUUUUACUCCUCGGCGACCUAUAUUUUGGCUAGUGAUAUAAUAGGUUAGCUUGAGUUGAGUAUUUGGGAGUUGAGAAACUGAUUCUAUGUUGGAUUGCCGUUGCUAUCUUUAGUGUAAUGUCUGAAAUUUAUGGCAGAACUGCAGUGACUGUUUCUCCUCAGUUUUACCCCUGUCUCCACUCGUUUUUGAGCCAAAGUUUGAAUACCAAAGUUGUGCAAAAACUUCUGUUCUAACUAUUCGUAAAUUUUCAGCUCCUUCGGAUCUGUCAAACGCCCGCUAGAGCCAAAACCCCACUGUUCAGCUUGCUGAAAAAUCAGCCGGACAGCAACUUGCUAGAACGUCUAAACGACCUCUUUUCCUUCCUUUUCGGUCGACAAGCGUAACAUGAAAGUGGUUGUGUACGAUAUAUUCUAACCCUCACUUAAGGAUGAGAACCUUGUGCACUUCGAAGAAGAGAUAUGCACCUACUCAAUAAAAGUUUUGAUUGUUGCUUUUGCACCAUCGGCAAGACUAGCGUUUAUCAUUUCCGCACAUAAUGUUUCCUUAUGGUUAAACAAGAUUUUGGGGCUAUGUGACUAAUGGAAAGGUGAAUCUUGCAGAUGGCACAUCGCAUAUGCUCCGGCUCCAUUCCUAGUGGCAGCGAGGUGCCUCCCCCACCUCCGCCUCCAACCACCCUCGAGGCAAUCUUGGCGGCUCAAACCGAGCUGCUGAGGCACAUCGCUCAGGGACAGCAGCAGCAGCAGCCCUAGGGAGGAAGAGCCCAUCAGCAGCCUCAUGUUGCUCGCUACGAGGACUUUCUGGGGACCCAGCCUCCUCUGUUCCACAAGACGGAGGACCCGCUUGACGCCGAUGCCUGGAUUCGUGCCAUCGAGUCCAAGUUCUCCCUUCUCACCGCCCAUUGCCCGGAGGAGAACAAGGUUCGGUUCGCCGCGCAACAGUUGCAUGGUUCUGCUCUCCUGUGGUGGGAUCACUACCACGCCAUGCAGCCGGCCGACCACGUCGUCGGCUGGGAGGAAUUCAAGACAGCGUUCAAGGGCCAUCACAUCCCUGAGGGUCUUCUGGAGCGCAAGCUCAAUGAGUUCCUGGCUCUCACCCAGGGAGGCCGCGACGUCCUGCACUAUGCGCAGGCUUUCAAUGACCUGUGUCGCUAUGCAGGCUAUCAUGCAGACUCUGAUGAGAAGUAGAGGGACCGCUUCCACAGAGGCUUGAGCCUGGAGCUCAAGGAAAGCCUGAAUCCCAUCAAGGUGGAUUCCUACAAUGAACUGGUGAACCUGGCAAUUUCCCAGGAAGAUUGCAUGAGGGCUCUCAAGGCUGACCUGAAGCGAAAGGCUCCAAUGCCGGCACCCGGCCCACCGGCCCAGAAAUACAAAGUGGUUCCCCCACAGGCGUCUCACAGGCCCGCACAACCUAGGAGAUGGGUUGCUCGACCUCCACCGCAGGCAGCACCUCAUUUCCCUGGAUUCCAGCCGCAAGGGCCCCGACCUACUCUUCCUAUGCCGCCAUGCCUAGUCACUGGAAACCGCUGUUUCACCUGCGGGAACCCAAGACACUUUGCCAAGAACUGCCCCCGCAACAAGAAUCAACGACCCGGUCAGAGCAAUGCACUGAGCAACAAGGGGAAGAAGCCGAGGGUUCAGGUCCGACAAGGCAGGCUGAACUACACCACCCUUGCUGAACUUCCAGAGGGUGCACCAGUGAUGACGGGUACCUUUUCUAUCUAUAACCAACCCGUCCUUAUUCUGUUUGAUUCGGGAGCAUCUCAUAGUUUCAUUGGGACUAGAACCAGUGCUAAGUGUGGGUUAGAUUUCUGUCACACAAAAGGUGCUUAUAUAAUCUCUACCCUGGGUAGGAAAGUAACUUCACACCAAGUGAGCCGCAAGGUGCCUAUCCAGUUGGGGAGAACCCUUUUUAAGGAAAACCUCCUUAUCCUUGGGAUAGAAGGAAUAGAUAUUAUCUUGGGUAUGGAUUGGAUGACUCGACAUCGAGUGGCACUAGACAUCCCUGCCAGAGCCGUCCAUAUAAACUCACCCAUUUAUGGUAGCUCAAUCAUACACUUACCCCCCCGAGAGUGCCAAACUUUUUGUGCCUAUCCCUUGACUGAAGCCCGUUUAGAAGACAUCCCAGUGGUGUGCGAGUAUCCCGAUGUGUUUCUAGAUGAUUUGCUGGGUAUGCUGCCUAAUAGAGAUAUCGAGUUUGCUAUUGAGUUGCAACCAGGUACUGCCCCAAUUUCAAAGAGACCGUACCGGAUGCCACCAGCCGAGCUGGCAGAAAUGAAAGCUCAGUUUCACGAUCUGUUGGACAAAGGUUUUAUUCAUCCAAGUACAUCACCUUGGGGUGUCCCCGCCUUGUUUGUGAAAAAGAAGGACGACAGUCUGCGUAUGUGUCUGGACUACUGCCCUCUCAAUGCGGUGACGAUAGAGAACAAGUACCCACUACCCCGCAUUGAUGUUCUGUUCGAUCAGUUAGCUGGAGCUAGAGUGUUUUCCAAAAUUGACCUCCAUUCUGGCUACCAUCAAAUCAAGAUCCACCCGUGCGACAUUCCUAAGACUGCUUUCUCUACACGGUAUGGACUCUAUGAGUACUUAGUCAUGUCAUUUGGGCUUACUAAUGCACCAGCUUAUUUCAUGUACCUCAUGAAUUCGGUGUUUAUGCUCGAACUCGACAAAUUCAUCGUGGUUUUCAUUGACGAUAUCUUGGUGUACUCAAAGGAUGAGGAAGAACAUGCAGAGCACCUACAUACUGUACUCCAACGCUUAAGAGAUCACCAACAAUAUGCCAAAUUCUCUAAGUGUGACUUCUGGCUGGACAGUGUUAAAUUCUUGGGGCACACCAUAUCCAGAGACGGUAUAGCAGUAGACCCAAGCAAAGUGCAAGAAGUAAUGGACUGGAAGUCGCCCACUUCAGUUCAUCGGAUUCGAAGUUUUCUCGGGUUAGCAGGUUACUACCGUCGCUUCAUUCCUGACUUCUCAAAAAUAGCUAAGCCAAUGACGAAACUGCUAAGGAAGGGAGUUAAGUUCAUGUGGAGUGACAAAUGUGAAGAAGCCUUCCACACCCUGAGACAAUUACUGACCUCUGCGCCGGUUUUAGCUCAGCCCAACACCACUAGGCUGUUUGACGUAUAUUGCGAUGCCUCUAGCACUAGACUGGGUUGUGUUCUUAUGCAAGACAGCCGAGUCAUUGCCUAUGCCUCACGAGCGCUACGGCCACAUGAGUUGAACUACCCUACCCAUGAUCUCGAGUUAGCAGCAAUCGUUCAUGCUCUGAAAUUAUGGAGGCAUUAUCUUAUGGGAACUCGAUGCAACAUCUAUACGGAUCACAAGAGUCUUAUGUACAUCUUCACUCAAGCAGACCUCAACAUGCGCAAGAGAAGAUGGUUAGAAUUAAUCAAAGAUUAUGACCUAGAAGUGCACUAUCACCCAUGCAAAGCCAAUGUAGUUGCCGAUGCUCUCAGCCGCAAGAUCCAUUGUAACUGCUUAUCGGCAAUUAAUUAUGCCGAGACCCUCUGUCAUGAAAUGGCUAAACUCAACUUGGAAAUUGUUCCCCAUGGCACCUUAAGUCAUAUUUCUUUAGAGCCUACCCUGCUUGACCAAAUAAUUUUAGCACAACUAGAGGAUGAAGAGAUAAACCUUAUCAAGGAGAAACUCGCACAGGAGGAUGAGGGAUAUAAGCAUUUCUGAUAGGAUUGGAGAGGAGUGGUACAUUAUGAAGCUCGACUCGUAGUUCCAAAUGAUCCCGAUCUUAGGAAACAAAUUCUGGACGAAGCACACCUUUCCAAGUUCUCGAUUCACCCUGGUAGUACCAAGAUGUACCACAACCUCUGACAAAAUUUCUGGUGGAGUGGAAUGAAACCCGACAUUGCACGAUAUGUUUCAGAGUGUGAUACCUGUCAGCGAGUCAAAGCAAGCCACUUAAGGGUAGCUGGCCCCUUGCGGCCACUGCCUAUUCCCUCGUGGAAGUGGGAGGACAUAAGCAUUAUAGUCAGACUACCCAAUACCUCCCGCAAACAUGAUUCGAUAUGGGUUAUAGUAGACCGACUUACCAAAACAGCGCAUUUUCUUCCAGUACACACCACCCGCGCCAUACAGAAAUAUGCAGAACUGUACCUUGACCGGAUUGUUUCCUUGCAUGGUGUACCUAAGACGAUCAUCUCUGAUCGAGGUAGUCAGUUUGUAGCACGCUUUUGGGAGCAGUUGCAGUUUUCACUUGACACUAAAUUUAUUCGUAGUUCCACAUAUCAUCCUUAAACCGAUGGACAAACUGAAAGGGUUAACCAGAUUUUGGAAGAUAUGCUACGCGCCUGUGCCAUUCAUUAUGACAAGAACUGGGAUAAGUGUUUGCCAUUAGCGGAAUUCUCAUACAACAAUAGUUACCAAGCUAGCCUGAAAAUGGCGCCUUUUGAAGCCUUGUAUGGACGUAGAUGCCGAACCCCGCUAAGCUGGUCGCAACAGUGUAUGGACCUGACCUGGUCAUGGAGGCCGAAGAAAAAGUAAGAGUUAUUCGUGAAAAUCUCAAGGCCGCCCAGUCUCGACAAAAGAGCUAUUCCGAUCAAAGAAGAAGACCUAUCCAAUUUGAGGUUGGGGAUUUUGUAUACCUGCGGGUUUCACCGACCAAAGGCGUACAACGUUUUGGAGUAAAAGGAAAGUUGGCUCCGCGCUAUAUUGGUCCCUAUGAGAUUGUAGAAGUUUGUGGACCCGUAGCGUAUCGAGUUAAACUUCCAGAGAAGAUUGCAGCGAUACACGAUGUUUUCCAUGUCUCACAACUCAAGAAGUGCAUUCGGGUUCCAACUGAAAUCAUCGCCUCGGAAGAAUUGGAGAUUGAACCCGAUUUAACAUACAAGGAGUAUCCUGUUAAGAUCCUUGACCGGAAGGAAAGACAUACUCGUAGGCAAAUGGUAAAAAUGUACAAAAUUUGGUGGAGUAACCAUACGGAAGAUGAAGCGACCUGGGAGACGGAAGAGUAUCUCAACACUAACUUCCGCGGUUUUCUUUUCGACCAGGAAGGUACGUUGCACCGGCCACACUAGUUCCUUUCUGCACUUGAAUCUCGGGGCGAGAUUCCUUUAAGGGGGGUAGGCUGUAACAACUCUACCUAAAUUAAGUGCUUUUAAAUAUAAACCAGUGGCUAAUCACUAAGUUAAAGAAGUAAAAUGACCAUUUUAACCCUAAGAAGCUCUUUUUGGAGUUUGAAAUAAAACUUGGAAUUUUAUAUGCAAACUUAAAAUUUUGCCCAAAUAAGAGUUGUAAAACUUUCAAUUUCAAACAACUUUUGUUAAAGGAACUUUGACUAAUUCGGAGUGGGAGGAAGUCAAAAACAGCAAUCAAAACCGGAGUACUAAAGAACCCUAUAAACCUCCUAAGUCCUGGUUUUCAAAUUUUCCCUCCAACUUUGCAAGCAUUUAUCUCACGAUUUUGUAUCUAAACUCAAGUCAGGCUCUUAAUAAAAGUUGUAGUCCCUCAAGUGUGUUCCAACUUUGUUACACUAACCCAGGUCCAAAUCGGGCCAGAACCUGUUCACAAUCUUGGUCAAAGUGAGGUAAAACAGUCAACUCAUCCCCUGAGCCCCACAACGCUAAGUCUGAAAAACUGCUCAGAGUGCACCUCUUGGCGAGGGCGUUCCUCCAAAUUUUUGAACUAAACUCAAGAAAUAACCUGAAUAAAAGUUUAAGUCCUCAGUUUGGAGAGCAACUCCUUCAAUAACACUUCAGUCUAAUUCAACUUGGAAGCUGCCCUAAAUUCGACUCAAACAUAGCUAAGUUCCUGAAAUUCCACCUCUCCGGCCAAAAUUGGCUAAGUCUGGAUUUCCAGAUUUUUAGCAAACUUUGGCACGAGAUAUCUUCAAAUCCUUUCACAAUCUAAACCAGCACCUUAAACCAAGUUUGAACUACGUCCAGAGUUGAACAAGUUUGUUUAAAGGAGUUUUGGAAGAUGUGUUGCAAAAUCUUAAGUUAGGAUCUCCCAAAGCCGGUCGGGCUUGCUGCCCGAAGGGGGCCUCGACGCCCGCGCGCCAGAGCACGUUCGCCCGCGCGCCACGCGUCGCGUGGCCGCCGGCCACCGGCAGUUCGCCGGCGCCCUAUCACCGGCAAGACAACGAUAGGGCAAGGGCCACGGCGCCCAACCCGCGCUUGCGACAGGACGGUGCGAAUGCCGGGCUAGCGAACCGCCGGCCGCGCGGGUGUCCUUUUCCCCCUGCCACGGCUCUGCUCCGCCAACCGUGCUCCGCCCGUCCGCGGGAGAAGCCGCCACGCCGAUGACAUCCCGCGCCUCCGCCCGCUCGCCCAACCCCAAUGGUAGCCCUCCGCUUCGCCCGCCCGACAGACCGGAAGCCUCAGACACGCAUCGCCCAAGGCCAAUCCCCGCCGGAGACCACUCGGAGCUCCGACUCCUCUGCCCAAUGGCGCCGCUGGCCAAUGGCCGCCUCGCCCGCGCACCCGCCGCACCUGGCCUUAUCCUUCCUCCACCAGAGCCCCGCCUCGACCCUCCGCUCCACCGCUGCCCUAUAAAAAGGUCCCUCUCACCGGCAACGCCACCCUUUGCCACCACCCACAAUCGCGCCACCGCUUCCUCCUCUGCGCCGCCACUAAUCUUCCGUGGAGCUCACCCCUCCGCGCCACCCCGCACUCCGGCGACUUCACCGCUUGCUUUGCCAACCCACCGCGCACGUCUCCGAGCAGCUCGUGGCCUCCCCGACGCCGCCGAUGCGCCGGAACGUCGCCUGCACCGCCGCCAGCCAAGCUCUGUUGCCGCCGCCGCGUUCCGAUCCCCGUCGGCCAUCUCCGUCGCCCCAACCCCGCCAAACCGAGCUCAGGUGAGCCCCCGCACCUCUCCGGCCACUUGUUGCCCCAUCCUCGCCGGCGAACCGCCGGGGAUUUCCUCACCGCCGCCGCGCGCGCCCCGGGGACCACAUUGCAUCGUCCCCAUUCUUUCCAGGGGCUUGAGCGCAAAACUCAAGGACCCCUGUGUAGUUAAACCUUAAACCCAGGGGCUUGCUUGCAAGUUUGCCACGGCUUUUCUUUUAAAUAAUAGGCAGAAAUAUGGUUGAACUUUGUAAAUGCCCAGUAAAUCGUAGAAAAAUCAUAAAAAUGCCAAACCACUUUUGCUAGGAUCCUUGCUCUGUCUAGUUCCUAAGAAAAAUAAGUUUGCUCAUGUUAAUGUUGUAAAUAAUAUCCUAUGCUUUUAAUCAUGUUGUAGGCCUUUUAAAUCCUAAUAAAUAGAAAAGUGGGAAAAAUGUGGAACCAACUCUGUGAUGCUUGUUUCUAUGUGUAGAAGCUCAGAAAAAUGGUUCGGGCUCUGGUCUAGCAUUUUAAGUCACUGUUUCGACUUUAAAUUGGGAAUCUAAAUAUAAAUCUUCCUUUUUGCAUAAGUUUUGAUCUAGAGCUCAGAAAAAUGUGAAACUAGUUGGGUUAAUUUUGUUUUGCUGUGAAGUUUGCUGGAAAAAUAUAAAUUGUUGUGCAAAUCAGAAAGAAAAACACCUUCCUUGCUAAGCAUGUUUAAUUAAGAAAAGAAAAGGAGUAAAUAGUAACCUUCUCCAAAAAUUAUGAAAAAUUCACCAAAGCUCCUGUAACAUACCCUUAACACACUGCUUAAGUUUCACCCUCUGUUGCACAGUAACUUUGAAGAUGGAAAAAGUUAAGCUCAGUUUACCUUUAAUAAUAAAAUGCAUGUAACUUCUUUUUAAGUCAUCCUUUGGCCCCCAAACUUUUACAGUAACCUAGUGAUGGCUUAAGUGAGGUGCUGUAAUUUUAUCAAUGCCUUUAACUACUAUUUGGAUAUGAAGUCAUUUUGGUUAAUUAAUCAACCUAAAGGAAUAAAAGGAGAGCGCAAAUUCUAAUACGAUAAAUAAGUGGACACUGAAAGAGGUACAUCAAAACAUUCAGAAGUAAGUAAUUAUUCCAAUGCACCCAAACCACCCAACACGACCUUUCACACUCUUUAUGCAACUCUAAAUGCAAGAAAGCUAUAUAUGUACACAAUCGCCAUUCAACGCGAACUCAAGUUUAAAACGACCACUUUCGUUUGAAGUUAAAAGAAAGUAAACCUCUCCAAAGUGUUUGUGGCUGUUGUGACUCUUGUCUUAAGCCAUGCCUUGUGUCGUUGAAUAAACGCGCGAGUCCAACUAAAUUUUUGCAUGUGCAUGUCGUAUAGAAGCAAAUCUCGCCGACGGAACCUACGAGCUCCACCCGGCACCAGAGAAAGACCCCGCUGCGGAGCUUCACCACUUGGAAGGCGAGCCCAAACCGGAGCAAGAUCCUAAGGACCCGCUAACUUUUCCUGAAGGCAAGCCCCGGAGCAUAAAUUCCUAUAUUUGAAUACUUGCAAUAUUAUUGAACACUUUGAUUGCGCAUUUACGUUUAUAGGAGUUGUAAUGAAACCUUAGAUGCAUGUACUAGUUGCUAAAGUCGAGUAGUUGCAAUGCUUAAUAGGUUCCGGUAAAAGUCGAGUGAUUUCCUAUCACUCGCGAGUUAUAAGAGUUGAAUGUUUACUUAUGUUGCAACUAUAAGGACGAUGGACAGGGUCGGGCUUAUGUUCGAUACUUGGUGAUUUUCCCCGUCUGUCUAAAGGAAAUUUAUCUAAGGUCGAAACGUGUCGGCGUUCGUGAUCAAGUGUUUGAAAGUACUAAUCUCAUACCUAGUAUGGGAUGGGGAAGCCUAGUACCUGAUUGAACUGGGGCGUGGCAUACUCCCCCGGCUGUCCUUGGAACACCGUUCCCAUGGUGCAUCAUGUGGGUGCAAGUGCGGUUAUAGUACGGCAGAGGCCGGGAUUAUGGAGCAUUGCAUGCCAAUGGCAAUUGGCCCUGACACGUGCCUAAGGGAUUGAUGGGGACGGCUGACAAAUGAAGCGACCCUUCGUGGUGCGCAGAUGUCGUGAGAUUAGGUUCGCCAUGCAUGGUUAAUAAAUUCAAAUCGAUUCGGCUGCCUCUCACAGUUUGGGACUACUUGAUCGCUAUUCUGCACUAAGUAACAAUGAAACAUGAUUAUGAGAUUAAGUUGAUGCUUGUUAUUUAACUGCUUGGAAAUCAUGCUUGUUUAGCAUAAGUGGCUAAUCUAGAAUGGUUAAAGAACGUAGAACUUGAGCUAAAAUAUUGAAAGUAAGGACCGAUUGUAGACGCUUGUGGCAAAGAAAUCGCAGAGCCAGGAAGCCUUGCAUGUCUAGGUCUUGGUAAAGCUUUUCACUCGACGGGUCAGUCUUGUUGAGUAUUAGUUGCUCAGCCUUGUUGUGGCUUAAUCUUUUCCGGUGAUGUCAAUAGUUUGGUUGCGGGCACCACUUGGCCUACCCAGCUCCCUCCGGGCUGGACAGUCGAGUGGGAUCCCUCCUCGGACGGCGAGGGAAGGGAUUUUUGAUGUCAUGAUUGGCUCCGUCGUGAUGUCAUGUAUCGACGUUUAGCUUCCGCUUUUUUUAUCUGACUUUUCGAACCUUGCAACUUGUUUGAAUUUUCAGAAACUCUGAUGUAAUAAUUUGUGAAACUAAGUAAUGUGAUGGAAUGUUGUAAUCUCUGUGCUACUCACCUUCGUGUGAGCGAUACUUCUCGAUCCUAUUUAGGUGGUUCAUCGGAUGAAAUCCGACGGUCGACCAGGUUGACUUGCUUAAAGUGCAUGAUCGUGUGUCAGGCGACUUCAAUGCAUUUUAGUCAGGUUAAUUUGGGCGGUUCCGCCACAGCAAGCCCCCGAGGACGAGGACCGGCAAAGCCAUGAACGCACGCUGACCAGAGUUAGGCGUCCAGCCCCCGAGCAUGAGCGCAAGGACUGGUGGAAGCACGUCGAGUUGCCUCCCGCCCUAAGCCGAGGCAGAGAGGUUGGCUGGGCGACGGGCGACACGUGGAGUCAUCUACGGUACCUAGCCGCCGAGCCUGGGAGCAGGACGAGUUGCAAAAGCAUGCCAAGUUGCCUCUUGCCCUGAGCUAGCAAGGUCGACCGGGUGACGGGAGGCACGCCAAGUCAUCUGCGGUGCCCAGCCCCCGAGCCUUGGAGCCGGCCGAGCCACAGAAGCACGCCAAGCCGCCUCCCGCCCCGAGCUAGAGAGGUCAGUCGGGCAAUGGGAGGCACGCCGAGUCGUCUGCGGUGCCCAGGCCCCGAGCCUAGGAGCCGGACGAGCCACAAAAGCAUGCCAAGUCGCUUCCUGUCCUGAGCUAGAGAGCUCGGCCGGGUGACGGGAGGCACACCGAGUAGUUUUUUGAGCUGUAAAAGGACAAUACAAUCAUUAUGUAGCAUAAUGUAGAUUAUUUAAUCAUUGAACAACUCGGAAGUUUAAUACGCUGUAGAAGUAAACUCUUGCUAAUCCUGCUCUUGUAGGCCAAGUAAAUUCCCCAGGUAGUUAGCUUAUUACGUUCAAGCACCUAGCCCUACUAACCACUGCUCAUGGAGAGGAUAGUUUAUCUCAGGCUAUAGCGCUGGGGCUGACCUGAUGCUCGCAUAUAGGAGACGCGCAGGAUGAGUCAAGGUUUCACGGAUUAAGGCGUGUGCUACCCGAGUACUUUAGCAACCGUUAACAGGGACGGAUAAGCCGCAAAGCAACUGGAGCUAUGCAAAAAAGCACCAGCAUGAGCUGGGCACCCAUGGGGUGUAGCCCCCGGCCGCCCGUGUAGUGGGUGGACCAAGCUGUAUAAGUAGGCACGGUGCGACCAAGGUGGUCGGCGAAAGUCACGAGGACAUAGGAGAGCUGAGGUGGUCGACAAAAGUCACAGGAACAUGGAGGAGCCGAGGUUUAUGUAGGUAUACGGAAGUCGUAAAAUAUUUAAUUAUAAAUAAGACUUAUCCUUAUUUGUGGUCAAGUCAAAAAACCCGCGUGUCAUCUUCGCGUUUAGGCUUAGAAGCCCCUGAGCGUGGUCGUCGGAUAGUUGUUGGUGAAGCAAACUAGUUGGGCAUGCCCAACUAAUUCAUGUCGAGGCCGAGUUGUUGGAGUUGUUAGCGGCACGUUUGUGGUAUGCUACUGCCGAGUCGAUGCGGCCAUCGGGUCGUGGCCGGCUGGCCGCCACGCUCACAGUACAACAUGCCUAGGUUGUGCUGCCAAACCAAGGGUGCAUGUAAAUCUUUCCGAAGCUUGUAAGGAAGCCCUCACAUAUUAAGGAACUCUAUACCUAAUACCAUCAUGGUUGUUUUGCAAAAAAGUCUCUCAACUUUUUUGUAAUCAACCCGCAGUCUUUGGAAUGUCUUGAAGAUUGUGCAAAAAGAUCCCCAAACUUUACUGCAAUUGGCCAUCGAAGCUCCCACAGCGUGCACCUAUGCCACAUGCGGUGCGGACGGGUGUGCCGGCUGCGACUGCAAGCUCCUCGCUGCGGCAGGGACCAGGUCGAGCAGCGACAGCAAUGACGAAGGGGAGUAGUCUGCGUCUGCGUGCCAUGCCACCGUCACCGGGCAAGCUGUGGUAGCGGCGGAGUGGGAGAGUGAGUCCAUUGGCGUGUGGAGGGUGCCGUGGGGCAGGUGGGUGGCGGAGAUCUGCAACCCACACCUCGCUGUGUGCAAGUGGCUCAGCACCUUCGACACCACUGAGGACGCCGCGCGUGCCUACAACGUCGCCACCGUCGAGUUCCGAGGCUGCUGUGCCAAGCUCAACUUCCCCGACGAUGCGGCUCUCGCACCUGCACCUUCCUAGGUGCUGACCUCGACAUACCAACACCACCACCACCUGCCGCAGCCGCUGCUCGAGAGCCUGCACGAGACCUGCGGGUCGAACGCAUCCUCAUCAGUGGACGUGGCUCUUGUGGUAGCGGCACCGACUGGGCAGCACGACACGAGGCCGGUGCCGAAGGAGCAGGACAUAUGGGACACGCUAAACGAGUUCAUGAUGAUGGAUGACGGUAGCUUCUGGUCGCCCAUGCCAUGAUCGUCAUAUUCUCCUCUUGUCUUCACUUUCGUUGCUUAGCAGAUAAUGGUGGUCAGCUGCCCUCUAGUCUGUCGUCAAUCGCCAGCCAUCCAUUGCUUUUAUAUGGUUUUACACUAGCUUUUGGGCUUUGAUCACACCUCCACACCCAUACGAAACGACUAGCUAGAGCGAUGUUGAUCUACUGCCUACCGCGCGCUAGGGCGAGCAGCUACUCACUCGGGCUGCAUGCCCUACCCACCACCUGGACCUAAGAGGUGAAGGAGAGAGGAGGAAGGGGGAAGGAAACAAGGAGCCGAGUGCCUCUUUGUAGUCAACCAAGUAGAGCCAUAUGCUAGUGAAGGCAUGGCGCCAGCGAGGGGGGCGCAGCGGCAGUCGGCAGGCAACGCAAACAGGGGCGGAGGUCGAGACCUCACACCCCCCUCUCAAUGACGUCCAUCCCCUUCAGAUCCGGAACUAAAGCCUCCACACCUAGCAAUUGGGGGCUCGAUUUUGCACUUGAUUGGAACGAUUUGGAGUGGAUUAUAGAAGGGAGGUGGAUGGAAAUGAGAAGAAGAGGAAAACGCACUCCUGCUCAUGGUGGCCAGAGGCACUGUGGCCUAGCGCUCAAAGCGGGAAUGAGGCUAGGCACGGGAAGGACGAGCGUUUGCCUGGGCGACGACGAGGAUGGCAAGAUGCGCAGCGCUUAGACGACGGUGAAGAUGGGGCAAGAUGUGGGUGGCACCGAUGGACGAAGAGGCAUCGACUGGUUAGAUGAUAAUGAGUACGGGGAAAAUUGAAUGAAUUUAUAGAGCGGUGGUUGAGCGGUGAUUUUUUUUGUUUCCAUGUGUGGGUCCCACGUAAUAAACAGAUGGCAUCAAACCACCCACAAAUAUCUUCUACUACUGUACUCGGACACCGCACCAACAUAUGGUGAAGUGAAGCUAACAUAUUAGAAACAAGCGAAUAAUAAUGUGAGAGUAAGUAAAGACCUGUAGUAACGUACGGGUAUUUCUGCUAGUAAGAAAAAAAAUUGUUAGUAAGCACCGAGCAACGUAGGAGAUCUACUGGAUGGAAUAGAUUAAAUAAUAAAGGGAAGGGAGAAUUGUUCUCUUUUUUUUCCGUGGCAGAUCUGACGUGUGUGCAUGCAACAAGUUGAGGUCGACGUGUCGUGCUAAAUCAACCAGAUCGUACCGGGGCUGGAUCAGGCGAGCUUGGUUGUGGCCGGGAUGAGGCCAAUAAGGGCGCCGCCCUUGACCUUGGCCUCCUAUUCCUCGCGGAUCUUCUGCAUCUGGAGCAUCCGCUCCAUGAUGAGCUUGUACUGGCACUUCUCGCAGGCGUGGCGCUCGGGCUCGCACUUCCAGCGGAGGUAGAACUGGGAGGUGCACGCACUGGUCAUGGUAGGCGAGUGGAACCCGAGCCUCCGCCAUCUCCACCUGCGUGACGAUCUGGAGCUUCGAGGAGCCGAACUGCACGCCGCCCGCCGCCUCCAUCUGUCACUUUGUUCCCCUCUCUCUCACUGGCGAGGUCGUUCCGUCGAUAUAUGGGCGCUGCGGGUUUGGUGCGGCGUGGGUGGGUAGGGUGCAGCAAGGAUGUGAGGAACCCUCUCGGAUAGAGAGAUUGCUGACCUACUGGGUAAGCGGUGUGAUGAUCCUUGGAUAGAGAACUUGCUCCACCAGAGUAAAUCUGACAGAUGCCGAGCUGGCGGCGGGCACCAAGUCGAAGUCCACUGACAUGCUCCUGAAGCGAAGCUGGAUCGGGUUGGUGAGAAAGUCCUUCAUGCUCUCAGGGAAAGUAAUGCCGGGGCGGGAUGCAAUCAAGCUCGCUAGGGAGGAUCUCACAAUCAUCCCUACCUGGCGCGCCAACUAUUGGAUUUAUAAGCCCGAUAGUCCACCAGGGGGUUACCCAAGUUGUUGAUUUGUAGGUGAGGGCGAUUGCGAAACCAAGAACUCUAAGGUGAUCGUGAAAACACGAAGGGACACGAAGGUUUUAGAUAGGUUGGAACCUCCGAAGAGUAAUACCCUACGUCCUGUAUGCUGGUUUGUAUUGCUUGAGAUUGAUAUGAUUGUUGGGAUACCCUUGGGGGUGCCCUUGGCCGCUUUAUAUAGGCUGACGAUCAAGAGUUACAAGUCAGUUUGAAUCUAAUCUACUCGAUAGUUACAUGGAAAGUAAUCUGAGUAGGACUAUAAUACGCGUUCCAUGAUAUUCGGCAUGUUUGAAUUGUCUUGUUGCUUUGACGUGCACUCCAAGUAACUUCAUGUCCUCAGCCCGUACGCCUUGGUCGAGUGGGCCCUACUUGUCAGGUAUGACCAGUAUCCUGAGGUACCCAUAUCUCUCACCUUGGUGCUCCGGCGAUUAGGGUCGGCAACGAGGAUGGGGAUUGGAAGAGGAGAUCGAGGGGACUUUAUGGAGAUGCUUACCGGCGGCGAGGUGGACGGAUUCCGGCUAGAAUUUGGCUGGCGGUGGAAGAACACGGCAACUGGCUCAGGUCUUCGCGAGUGAUGGUACUCCGGCGGUGGAGCGGCGACGAAGAAUGGUGGCAGAGCUGCUCCUCGAUGUCACGGAGCUCCCUAAGGCUCUAGCUUUCUUCGAUAGUCGACGGGCAUAGUGAAUCGGCCAGAGAAGGCUAGCAGCAGCUCCUAGCUCCGGCGGAUGUGGGGGAUGGCGGCGCUCGUGCAAGUAGGGAAGAGCGGCGGUGUGAGGCAGGGCAGUAGCAGGGGCACUGUCUCGACUUUUAUAGGUGUGUGGGUCCGCGCCUGCCUUGGCACGCACGCCGAGGUUCGGCGGUGGCGACGCCCAAGUGCAGCUACGCUUGGCCUUGACCCGCUAGUGGCCGAUGGGCCUAGCGAGCCUAGCCGAGCCAUCAGCUGGGCCGAGUCGGUGCAGGUUGGCUGGAGAGGGUCGGGCUACAAAGACUUGGCCCGAUCGAUUAGGAUUUUGCUUUUUUAGAAAUGAUUUCUCAUGAAAGAAAAAUCUAGAAAAAUUCUAGAUAAUUAAUUUAAAUAACGAAAAAAACCCUAAAAAUCCAAAAUUCCAGGAAAAAUCCUAGAGAUAGUUUGGGACAUGAGGAGUCCAAAUAAAAUACUUGGAGCUCAUGAAAAGGAUUCUAGAACCUUCCAAAAAUUGGAUUUAGCUAUAGAAAAAAUGAGAAUAAAUCUCAAAAAAUCUGGAAAUUCUCAUAAGAACCUAAUCGGCAUCUAAACGCAUUCCAAAAUAUUUGCACUUAUGAAAUACCAAGAUGCAUCGGUAUGAAUGCAACACAUACGGAGAACCAUUAUAUUUAAUUCAGAAAAACACUCAAUUAUUUCCCUAUACUAAAUUUCCUGUCAAGAAAAUAAAUGUUGGAAAAAUUUUAAAAUUAUGAGAAAAACAUUGUUUAAUUAUUAUUUUUAAUCUGAAAGUUCAAAAAUUUUAAGGUGUGGCAGAUACCCUCAGGUUUACAGAAUUUGACAUCCAUGUGCAAAUUGGAUGUAUCCUUCAAUGAUCUGCAAGGUGAAGUGCCAAUAGGGCUUUUUUUUUGCAAAUGCAUCUUACAUGUCGGUUUAUGGAAAUGAUCAGCUUUGUGGUGGAAUACGUCAACUUCAUUUAGCUCCAUUCUCCAUGUCCAGUGCAAAAAAGAAAAAAAAGGAAAUUUGUCGAAAACCCUUGUGAUCACCCUAACAUCAAUCAGUGCAGUUGUAUUCUCAGUUUCAGUACUUGCUGUAAUUGUGUUGAUCUGUAAGAAGCUUAGGAAAAGGCAUGAAAGUCAACUCAUAUCCACAACUGAGGAACGGUAUGAAAGAGUUUCUUAUCAUGCUUUGUCAAAUGGGACCAAUGGAUUUUCAGAGGACAAUUUACUUGGACAAGGAAGCUAUGGCAUGGUUUAUAAAUGUACUUUACAUGACCAGGGUACUACUGUAGCUGUAAAGGUGUUUAACAUAGAACAAUCUGGGACUUUUAGAAGUUUUGUCGCUGAAUGCGAGGCACUCAGAAGGGUGCAUCACCGUUGUCUCGUAAAGAUCAUCACUUGUUGCUCAAGCAUCAAUCACCGGGGUCAAGAGUUCAAGGCACUAGUUUUUGAGCUCAUGCCAAAAGGUAGCCUAAAUGGUUGGCUUCACGCAGAGUCUGACACACUUACCCCGACAGAUACUCUGAGCCUUGAACAAAGGCUACACAUUGCUGUCGAUAUCAUGGAUGCUUUGGACUAUCUUGAUAAUCACUGUCAGCCAUCAAUCAUUCAUUGCGAUCUCAAGCCAAGCAACAUCUUUCUUGCGGAAGACAUGAGUGAGUGCCCGAGUUGGAGGUUUUGGCAUAUCAAGAAUCCUUCCAGAAAGUGCUAGUAAAACCCAGCAAAAUUCGAAUAGCACAACUGGAAUAAGAGGCACCAUUGGUUAUGUUGCACCAGGUAAUGAAAGAGAUGGUUUUGGUAUUUGAAAAAUGUUCUUAGUUCUUAUGUAUACAUGAGCUGCUGACCUUUGGCUUUUUUUUUUCCAAUAAGAGUAUGGUGAAGGUUCUUCUGUCUCAACUCAAGGUGACGUUUAUAGCCUCGGCAUAUUGCUGCUUGAGAUGUUUACUGGAAGGAGCCCAACGGAUGAGAUAUUCAAUGAUUCUUUGGAUUUGCACAAGUUUUCAGAGAAUGCUCUUCCAGAGAGAAUAUGGGAUAUAGUUGAUCCGACAAUAUGGAUGCACACAGAUGCCUAUAACAGCACUAUAAGAAGUGGAAUUAAGAAUUGCUUGGUUUCUGUUGUUUCUCUUGGAAUAUCAUGCUCGAAGAAACAACCUAGGGAGCGGAUCCCGAUUCAGGAUGCAGCCAUUGAGAUGCACGCUAUUAGAGAUUCGUAUCUCAAGUUUGCCAGAUCUCUUUUGGUGGAGCAUGGAGUAGUAGCAACAACUCACAGUGAUUUCCCACAACAGUGAAUACAUAGGACUGAAAAUGGGCAAGAUGUCUGCAGGUGAUCAGUUUACCUGAAAUAACUGAAGAUGUAUGAAGCUUCAGCUUUAUAAUUCGUCCUUGCAUUUGUUUGCAUCAGAUAUAUGGAAGUAUAAAAUAAGUUUAGAAAAUGUUUCAAAAUAGAUUAGAUCAAGAGGUUUUACUUGUCGUCUGUAUGACACAUUUUUUGUAGAGAAUUCAGUAAUAUGUAUGAUUCAUAAUACAAUCAAUGCUCUGCAAAUUUCAGAUAGCACAAUUGGAAUAAAAAGCUCAUUCAUUGAUUAUGUUGCUCUAGGUGACUCAACUUAUUGUGAUGUUCACUGUAGAUUUCUCCAUGGUCCAAACGACCAUUGUGAUCAGUUAUGUUUAUGCAUUUUGUAGACUUGUUAAGUCUUUCCCUAACUUGCUGACAUAUCAGCCGGAGCAGAGCACUCUGCCAUUCUGCGCCACUCGCCUCUAGGCGGCGCUUGCCGCUUGGUGGCUGCGGUGGCGACCGGCGGCAUCCGUACCUGCUCUGUCGGAGGCUGAGGGGCACAAUUACGUCUUGGAGUCGCCACCGCGCGACCUUCGGAGCUCGCCCAUGCCUCGUCGGUACGAGCUCAGUCGCGCGGUGAAUGGCAUGCGCAUCUGGGGUCCCGUCAGCUGCAGGUGCAGAUGGGUAGAGAGCUUAGCUGCGCUAGGUCUUCAGAAGAUGUUGAGUGGGCUGGAUGGGGCUUUGCGGCUCUGAAUGGCGACGCGGGCAGGACGACGACGCUGGACGCGUGGGGAGGAGACGACCUGAACCAGGGGCAUUUCGGAUAAUAGUCGGAUCGCGAUCAAUAAUCGCAAUCCAAAUUAGGGGGCUAUUUACAAAUAAUAGGGGGUAUUCCGUAAAUAUUCGGUUCGCGAUCAUUAAUCGCGAUCCAAAUGAGGGGUUAAUUGAAAAUAUGAUGGGGGUGUCUUUUGAAAUUCCGGAUUGCGAUCCCAUCCUCCGCCGCGGCUCGCCGGAGCGCCGCCAGACGCCGGCCGUCCCUUGGGGUACCUCUUCUUCGUUCCGUCUGUCGGAGCCCUAAGACGCGGUCGGUGUUUUAUCUGACAAGGAACCCUGAAGUCCGAACUAACUGAAGAAAGACAUGAUGCUGACCUGGAAGAAGAAGACGGCCUCGCCAUGGCCGGAUGCGGCGCGGUGGAAGGACAGUGUGUUGGCGGAGCGGAUGUUGUCCGACGUGAACUCGCCAGCGGCGUGGUCCACCACAUUCCGUCGACGGGCGGUGCACUUGCUGUCGCCUGUCGGCUACUUCCAGGCAGUAGCUGAGCUUCAGAGUUCAGACAGGGUGCUUGUGCUUGCAACAAGUUCAGAACGAUGUCAUUGCUUUGAUGCAGAGGAUGGAGCAAACCGGUUGCAAAUUGGAUUCUGAUACAUAUAACUUAAUAUUGAACCUUUAUGUCGAUUGGAAAUAUGAGAAGGGGUGCCCCAAAUAUGGGAUGAGAUGGAGAGGAGUGGAUCAGGCCCAGAUCAACGAUCAUUUACUAUUAUGGUUCAUGGUCUUCAUUCCCAAGGAAAGCUUGAUGAGGCUCAACAAUGAAGUCAAGAGGGUUGAUCCCUGAACCAAGGACCAAGAUACUGGUGAAAGCUAUACAUAUGAAGAAAGAUGGGGCUGUCACAGAAGAUCAGUCUGUAAAUAUGACAGGGAAGAAUCUAAAACUGGAUCCACGAUCUAGACUAUUCCAUGUUCAUAAAUAGUUUGCUGUCAGAUCUUACUUCUAUAACCUGAACAGAGGAUUGCUGGGCACGUAUUAUGUGUCAAAAGAAUCUCUUCUACCAGUGUCCUGAUCACAAUGGCCACACCUUGGGCUACAAUAAAUCAUCAGCAAAGUGUGUUGGCAUUAUGUAUCCCAGAAAGUUUUGCUCAGACUUUCAAUGCCAGGGUAUGUUUUUUAUGUCUGAUAUGGAUCAAUUAUAUUGCAAGUACUGUAUUACACCCUCGUAUUAUGAAGGUUAUGUGAAAUAUGACAGAUGUUUGUUUAUUCAUUUGUUAUGCAUGGCUGUGUCUACUAUCUAGUUGUUGGCUUGUUGCCAACAUAUGCAGCAGCAGGUAGCUUCAGCCGCUCAGAAGCCCAAAUGAAGAAUGGUCCAGGCAGAAUAGCUAGUCUAGACCCAGAAAGCUUAGGACAUGUCUUGCCAGCCUGCAGUUUUGUACUCGUAGCACCAACCAUCUCCGGGUUCUGGCCGGUUAUAUACAUGGUCUGGAAUGGGCAUCCGCUGAUCGAUUGAAACCUUGAACUGCUUCCGUGUUUGUCUUUUACCAUCUAUAUAGUAUGGUUAGUCAACGGCAUGCAAUACACCCAUGCAUAUGAUUGCAGUAGGAUGACAUGGCGUGACCAGAACCCUUCUUUUGCCAGUUUUUUAUUCUUAUACACGGCCAACAACAGGGAGUUGCCGAUUGCAAUACACCCAUGCUACUAACGCAGCAGGGAGUUGCAUGCUAAGCAGUUCAGCGUAGGUGGUGAGUUCUCAACUCUGAUAUGGUUUAUGGAAGAACACUGUCACGGUGUCACCUAGCCGGUUGGAGGCCAACCUCUUACUAGGGACAGCAAUGGCCCUGUCCACUGUUUCGUGGCUGGUAUUAUUACCCCUAUGCAGUGAAUAUGACAUGUGGAUCUAUGUGUAUAUUAUGUCGCCAGAAGAACAUUAUAUGAACCGUUGAGCCACCUUUGAUUCUAUUAAUGUGUCAUGGUCAAUUGAUGUCAAACUCUAUUAUCUUCAAGUCUUAUUGUAUUGAUAAAAUCACGAUGCUGCUACUGCCAUUUUGAUGUUUAUAAAAGGGUAUUGAGAACCUGGUGGGUAUCCAUUCGAUGCGCAGGGGUGAGGGUGGGGAAAAAUGAGUGUAAAGGACAGGGAUACAGUAUUUAGAAAGAUGGGGCUGCCACAGAAGAUAGUCUCCAAGUACGGCAGGGAAGAAUCUAAAAACUGAUUCCUUGAUCAAGACUGUCCCGUAUUCAUAAAUAGUUCACUGACAGAUCUUGCUUCCAUAUUCUGAACAGCUGAUGCUGGGUACAUAGGAGGUUAACCGGUCAGCGGAUCGAAGGAAAAAAAAAUCUUGCCUGUCAGUGUCCACAAUGGCCUCAUCUUGGGUUAGAGACAAUCAUCCCUAAAGAAUCAUAUUGCCGGAUAAGGUUAUCAGUGAUUGGUAGGUGCAGAUCCAUGCUCAUCCUAGAAACAAGCCAGGGCUGAAUGCGCCACUCAUUUUAGGUGCUUGGAUGUUGUGACCGAAAUGAUCGUGUGUUUAAUGGAGUUUCCCAUAGUGACUAGCGUACAGGCUGUCCUCGUAUUCGAGAAAAAAAAUAAUGGGCGAAAUGUUUUCACCCAGGUAAUUGUUGCAUUGUAUGAAUAGGCUUAGUGGUUGGUGGGUGCAGAGUAUGAAUGUGCUUGUACUGUGACACAAGAAGAUUUAUCAUAUCUAUGUAUGAAUUAGUAUUAAAUCUGCUACAUAAAUAUCUUCUCUUAUCUCAUUGUAUGUGUAUAUAUGACACAGAAGCACAUGUAUAUCAGCAUUGUAGAGAGAGAUGAGAGAGAAGCUUAUCUGCUUUUUGGAGAUAAAUAUUCAAAUUGUGGUGUAUGAGAAGGAUAGAAUUAUUCUAUCAAAUUGUUUAUUCAACAUCUAAAAAGAUUCCAUGUUUAGUCAUCUAUAUCGGCAUUGUAGAGAGAGACUAGUGUUCAACUGGUUGGAAGGAUGAGAGAGAGAGGAGAGAGAGAGGAUGAAUAGUGUUCAGCUGGUUGGAAGGAUGAGAGAGAGAGAGGAGAGUUUCGAUGAUAGAGAGAUUAGUGUUCACCUGGUUGGAAGGAUGAGAGGGAGAUGAGAGAGUUCGGAUGAGGAGGUGGAGAGUUCGGAAGAGAGAGAGGUGAGAGUUCGGAUGAGAGAGAAACAGCUUAGAAGGAUGAGAGAGAGAAAGUGAUAUUUAGCUGGAUGGUGGAGACUUCAUAUAUUACUAACUAGCAAGGUGUCCGUGCGUUGCUACGGUGAAACGACGUUGCUUAGCACGCGAUGUUUUUUAUCGUGUCGUGUAGCGCACCAUAUUUUUUAUCGUGUUGUGUAACUUUUUUAUUUUAGUAGUAUUAGACUUUUCAUAUAUAAAGGGUCACGUGAGUGUGUCCAUAUCCCAACCGUGCGGAAACCGCUUGCCAUCGAACUUGUUAUCUCUUUCUCUAUCUUGAGAUUGGUAUGCUUCUACAGCAAUUCUGCACAAAGAAGGCCCCACUUCGCCCCGUUCCCGCCGUCCGGUUAGUCCCACGCCUACCCUCUCCCUCUCUGAUCCUCGCUGUCGGCUCCUCGAGGUCCAGGUCGGGCUUGUGAUGUAGCGGCCUGUUAUCCUUCCACCAUUGGAAGCGGGUAGUGAUCGCUGCUCUGUGAACCCUGCCUCACGCCGUUCCUACCACUCCAGGUCCAGUGAAGCCUGAGCUUUCGCUUGGACAAACAGCCACUACCAACUUGGAACGGGCAGGGCCAGCAAGGGCAUACAAUGGACCCAAGCCCUCCGCACCCAAACAUCCACACCACUUUAAUGCCUCCACUUGGGUUACAAGCCCGCGCAACCAAGCUCGGUGAGGAUGACUCGUGAGGAUGAACAUUUAAGUUGGUGUGGCGCUGCUUCAGAUGGCGAGGUGGUACUAAUCUAAGGAAUAGGAAAAUUUCACAUGGGUCCCACACCGCACCCAGCCCUAUCCUUAUCCUUUCUCAUCUCUCUAUCGUCCGUCCGGUCCUUAUCCUCUUCAUCUCAUCUCUCUCUCUCUCCCUAUCUCUCUCUCAAACUCUCUAUCUCGCCUACCCCCUCUUUCUCUGGAGAAGGCGGUGCACGGCUGGCCCCAGUGAUGGCCUGGGGGCGCGGGGUGCCAAUAGCGGCCGAGGGUUGUAGGGCUGCGGCGAGGAGCCUCCCAGCCGUGGAUGCGACGGCCUAGCCAUGGGCACCGGGCAGGCGGCUCUGGCACGACCGGCUGGGGCGGGCAGGGAGAGGCGAACAGCAGUGCUACGACGUCACGAAGAGGCGGACGUCGGGCAUGGGCGGGUGAAAGGGGAGACGGGGAAAGAAAGCUAGACCCACCUAUCAAUGCGUUAAUCUUACCUAUUAUUAAACAUCAGGGCCACCUCUCGUUGAUAGAAGUUGGACCAAACAAGAAAAAGUGGGCAGAAGUGUUCCUCACUUUAAUAAUAAUAAUAAUAAAGUAUAGAUAAUGCAUCCAAACAACAUUCGAAAUUUAAUUUUAAAAAAAACUUUCUCGGUACAUCCAAACAAGAAAAUUCAAUUGAAUUAAAUUCUACUAAAUCCAUUUCUUAUGGAAUCUAAUAGCUAGAAUAUGAUUCAUGGGAUGAGUUUCAACUCUAGGGAUCUAAACAUGCCCUUAGUUAUUUCUUAUGUAGCUCAAAUCAGAUGCAAGGUAUGUCCUAACUAAAAAACGUAAGUUACUUUGUGUUAUCUCGUGAAUCAGUGAUUAAUUACUUCCGAUCACUAGUAGAGAAUUGGCUUUCGAUGCGCCCCCUUUUGUCCCGGUUUAAAGUUGGCCCGGGACAAAAGGUUCACCAACCGAGACUAAAGCUCGGUCACUGGUGGGGGGCUCACCAACCAGGACCUUUUAUCCCGGUUGGAAAGGCUAGUGGGAAAAAAAGAUCAUGAGAGGCUUUUUAUCCCGGUUUGAAACACCAACCGGGAUAAAAGACCCAUCUAACUAUAUAGGGGAUGUUACCAACCAGGAUAAAAAGGGUCGAGAGCCUUUUAUCCCGGUUUGUAAUACCAACUGGGAUAAAAGGGGGUCAUUUAUCCCGGUUGGUGUUUCAAACCGGGAUAAAAGGGUCCCAACGAGGUGACUGAAACAUGACUAAAUCCUGAACCCUUUUAUCCCGGUUUGUAAUACCAACCGGGAUAAAAGGGGGUCUUUUAUCCCGGUUGGUGUUUCCAACCGGGAUAAAAGGGUCCCCCACAAGUUAAUACAAAACGAUAACAUCCCCUAUAUAGUUAGAUGUGGUGUGUAGGUGGGAUGGCAAGGAAGCUACGCGCGAGGCUGGAGGUUGUGGGUUCGAAUCCCAUGCAGCGCGCACGCGCAUAUUUCGCGUGGAAAAUCGCGUGACUUGCGACGCGCGUGUGGGGGGCCUCCUGGGAGCUCGGAAUUUCUUUUUUUUGUUUUAUCCCGGAUGGAUUUUCGGAAGAUUUGCACCCUACCAAUCGGGACUAAAGGUCAAUUCUCUACUAGUGAAUCUUAUGUAAAAAGAACUACGAGUUAAAUUCUUUGUCAGAUUUAUACUGACAAGUUACAAGCACAUGCCUCUGCAGUAACAGGCCAGCCCUAGACUAGCGGGCAAACAAAAACAACAUGAUUCGUCAACUGAUCGAAUGUUAAUGACUAUUUUGCUAGGAGAAUGAACAUGAUUCAUAAAAAAAGGGGAGCUACUAACUUGGUCAAGGUCUCCGUCCUCUAGCGUGGCGAAGGGGCCAUCUUGCUCCACUCCACGUCUGCGUGGUUGCUAGGUGGGCGCGACGGCGGCUGCGGAGUGCGGACGGGCGCGUAGAUGUGUCAUUGUUGAUCAGGACAUGCGCUUCUAUCACCGUCUGUGGUUGGCGUCCGCGGCCGAGCGGGUCAAGGUCUCCGUCCUCUAGCGUGGGGAAACAGGAUCUCUUCAAUCAGUGCUUCUACAGAAACGGUGCACGGUCACCACGGACCAACGACAUACCAUGAGAAAAGCGGAGCUAAAUGUUGCAGUAGCAGAGUAACCGGAGACUGGAGAGCACUUGCUGCUAAAAGCUGCCUCUUAUUUUGUAUCGUCUUUAACAGAAGACUUUAAGUCAACCGCCAUUCGAUUCCAAUAUAAACUAGCAAGUUGGCCCGCGAUGAUAGCACGGCUAGAUUUGAUACAAUAUAACUUUUUUAAAUGCUAUGUUAGCUUAGUAUAUUUCUUCGUCCCUCUUGAUUUGUUUUUCAUCCUCUUGAAAUCACUUAGUAUACUUAGGUGCCUUACUCUACACAUUGAGUAUCAAGCCAUAUGUGUAUAUUUGUUUUUUUUUGCAAAUGAACUCCGAUGCCACAUGUGCAUAUGCACGCCUAAUUAAAAUUGCUCACUUGUAACAAAAUAACAAGAGUAGUUGAUUCUGAUCUUAUGUUGCAGUUUUUGCCAACUUUUCCUAGUAUUAUUGUGUUGAGUAGAAAGCCUGUGUAGAAAAAGAUACAAAACAAACAAUCGUGUUAACUACUCCCCAUACUUGCUCAAAUGAUUUUGAAAAAUAAAAACAACCGCGCUCUAAGUCCUAGGUGGUGAUAUUCCUCCUUACUUUCCUCCUCUCGUUUUCCUUGCACAAUCGAGGAUGACAAAUACCACAAACCACUUAGGCUCGAUCAUGUUUCAUCAUCACAUUCCUCAAAUCUUGAUCACGUUGUUGUCUUCAUUAUGCUAGCAGUACACAUCUCUCCGCCUCUUCUCACUGGUAGAGAAUUGGCCUUUAGUCCCGGUUGAUAGGGUGCAUAUCUCUCGGAUAUCCAUCCGGGAUAAACCAACCGGGACAAAAGGGAGGGUCUUUAGUCCCGGGUCUUUUAACCGGGAGUAAAGGUCCUCCUUUAUUUCCCAACCGAGACUAAAGGGUUACCCUUUAGUCCCGGCUGGAUUCCAACCAGGAGUCCCGGCUGGAUUCCAACCGGGACUAAAUGGCGCCUGCAUGGCACUGCCGUGGCGCCUGAAUUUUUCAUGCAUGCAUCACGUACGUAGUACCGCGACCCUUUUAAUUUGUUAAACUUUAGUAGUUGAGAUUUUUUUAGAACGAAAUCAACUAGUAUUUAAACGAAUGGGAUUUGUAAUUAUACAAUUACUAUAUAUGUACACAAUCCUUAUACACAAUUCAUAUACACAAUUCAACUAGCUUAGUACAAAUUGAUCAUAAUUAGCGCGUAUUAUAUAUACAAAUAAAUCAAAGUAUCUGUCUACAAUCUUCCCGUCGUGGUGUUGCUGAUCGGAGUGUCUAAUUGUCGUCCAUCGUAAUAAAAUUCUCCUUUUGGAUUUACCACCUUGUCCAUUAUGAAUCCAAUGAGACUUUCACAUAUUGCCGCUACUCUUUCUUCCUUCAAGAGUCCUUGUUGAAUAUUUAACAUCUAUAAUUUGGAAAUUUUUGAAUGUUACACGAACAAAUACAUAUAAGGAGCUAGAAAAUAAUUAACUAGUAAUAGUUUUAUUUUACGUACUUUAAAGUUGUGCGGCGUCAUCUUCGGUCCCUUGGGUCCCAUAAAACUGUGCAUGUGCUCACAGAUGUAGUAGCCACAUAGAUUAUUUCCGGGUUCCUGUCUUAAGCACUUCAGUGCGGAAAAAAAUAAGUUAUGAAAUAUUCGUAUUAUACAAUGUAAUAAAUGUGCAGACUUCAUACGUACCGGGAAGUCUGUGUUCCAUGUAAGUUUUUCUUUGAAUGGACCUUUGUGUGUCCUUAUGAAUUGUUUCCAUGCGCUGCAGAUUAGAAUAAUGAAUGAUAUAGUGUAACAGGAAUAAAAUUUAGGAAAUAAACUUUUGCAUAUAGAUAAAGGUACAGAAUUAUUACAAGCCUAGCAUGUCUUGCACUUCUUGGUAGUCCACCGGAUCUUUCCUUAACGAAUCGAAGACAGUGACGUGGCUUCUUUCAGGCUCAAUUAUAAUAAGAAUCCAGUGGAAGCUGCGUGCGUAAAAUGUUCAUGCAUAUUAGAGCUAACUAACAUGUAGAGAUAAGGAAAAAGACAUCGAAAGUAGACGGUAUACACACACUUACUUGAAGUUGUAUGGAAGUAGUAUGAAAUCCUUGAAUGUUUGUUUGUCUAGGAAAUUGUAUAUUUCCGCAAAGGUUUUUUCCGGUGCUAAUUGUGUCUGUUGUUGGUUAACUACAGAUGGAUCCAUGAAGCCUACAUGUAGGUACGCCUCUCGGCGGCAUGUCUGAAUUAGCAUCCUACAUGAAAUGGAAGAUGAAGUUAGUACGGUGACGCAUGCCAAAAUUUACAUGUAGAGAUAAACGGACACUUACAGAACCUAAGCGCUGAUCAGAGAGACGUCCAGGGCAUCAUGAUGGUACACUUCGUAUAUAUCCUUGAAGUCUAGCCACAGCACUUUCUCCCCUUCACCGUGAAAAUCUAUCGGUUUUACCUUCAUGCCGAUCAUCUCCCUCGAGUCGGCGGAUGCCAUCAUGUACCAUUGAUGGAAUGCGUACAUCUUUGUUGAUAGCUUCCGUACCAAUGAAGGCUUUACUAGAGGUUUGCCUAGCUCAUAAGGCCAUCUCAGCUCAGGGGGCGGUGCAGUUGGCGUCUCAACUUGCCCUAUGCAUUCAUCAAGUCCCAGACCUGUUUCUUCCAUGAACUUCAAUACAUUUGCUUGUUGAUCCAAGGGCAUUGCUUUUACCCGUUGAGCAUCUUUUUUUGAUAAAUGGCUGAGGUCGGGGACUGGACCGCUGGAAGAUGACUUUCCUUUCCUUUUAUCCUUUUCAUCAGCCUUUACUAGAGCCCGUUCAUAGUUUGACAAGAGUGGUAUCCUUUUCUUGGCUCCUUCUUCUAUCCUGAUAAAAAAGUUUAAAUCUCGCCGACUUACUGGCGGUGGCUCCAUCUCCCUUACUUUUUUUUCUUCGGCUUGUUUCUUGAACCACUCACUGGCCUCUCGUUGGAUUUCUGCCCACUGUUCCGCAUGAGACAUUGCCUCCCAGCGUUCCUUACGAGUCACUUCAGGCUCCUUUGUUUUCUUCUUUCUCUGUCUUUGCUUGGGAGGCGGUGCUCGUGACUUCUUUAGUGGUGGUGCAGGUUCCUUCAAGGGGGCCGCUCUUGGUGCCGGCGACGGUGAUCGGGGAGGGGUGUUGUUAUUGUCGUCGUCGCUCCCAGCACCAGGAUGUAGUGGAGAUGGAGACCUUGAUAUAGAUGGAAGGGACGGUCCUGGAGCAGGAGAUGACGGUCUCGAGGUAUGAGGAGAAGGUCGCUGCUGGGGAUCUACGGGGAGCGGUCUUAAGGUCUGAGGAGAUGGCUCCGUGCUGGGAAUAAUGAUGUAGCGUUUUUGCCAUAGAAUAAUCCCAUGAAGCGCAUCUGCCAAUGUCUUUUCCCCGUCGCCUCCCGGGAAGUCGAGCUCUAGACCUUCAUACUAGGGAUCAACUAUUUGCUCUACGCAGACGCUGGCGUAGCCUGUUGGAAUUUCCAUGCCAUGACUGCUCUGCCCCGCCAGGGUUGCUAACGCACUCCCGUACGCUACCUGUACAUAUAGCAGAAGUAAACAAGUUGAACUCCGAUCUCGAGGCCUGGAUCAAUUGACAAGAUUGCAUAAAUAUUAUGUAUAAGUAUACCUUAAUAGUGAGGUUGCCGACCGGUGCAUGCAGCUCACAUGAGGUCCGUUGUGUGAUGGCAUCCACGGGGAACCGUUGCUCCUCCACGGGUAACCUGGGCGUCUGCGCAUCGGGGACCCCUGUAGAAGCACAACUGCUCAAGAGGCGUUGAGAAGGGCUGGCGGUGUUAGGAAUCGGCAAUGCUCCAGAUUGGGCCAACUCCGCAACUGCGUGGGCCACCCGCCGAUUGGUUUCAUCCAUCAUUCUUUGUUCUUGUGCCUGCACUUUAGAUUCUAGCAUCUGCCGCCAGCUCUCCUCGAUCUGUUCCUUUCUUCGCUUCCGGCUUCUGUACGAGGUGCUGUCGCCUCGGAAAGCAAACUUCCACGGAACCACCCCGAACCCUCGGCAACGUCCUGGGUGUUCUGGAUUACCGAGGGCCAAUGUGAGCUCAUCAUUUUCUCGGUCCACCUUCAACCUCCCAGCCUUAGAAUCUUCAAUGUUCUUCAUGAGAUGUUCGGCCUUCUCACGUAUUGUGUCAUUAAAAAUCAACGUCCCAUCCUCUUGGCUUAGGGAGCCUCCAUGAGCGUAGUACCAAUUUUUUGAUCGUUCGGGCCAUUCAAUAGUUGCAGGUACGAUUCCCCGUUCGAUCAGAUCUUGUUCCAUCUUCCUCCACUUGGGAAUUGCUGAGCCAUACCCACCUCGCCCCAAAUGAUGGUGGUAGCCCUUCUGACUAGCAUUUGCUGUGUUGGUCGUGAUCUUUUUCACACCGUCUUCACUCCUCUUAUAUUCAACAAAUGCAUCCCAGUGGUCCCUCAACUUUGGCCACGCGUUGAAGUCUAGAGUUCGGCCCUUCUUGAUGUAGUGGGUAUCCAGCAUCUUCUUGAAUGUCUGGAAUUGAGUAGCCAUCUUCUUAAGCGUCCACGCUUUGACAUCCUUCUCACUAUAUCCUUCGGGGAAUGUGAAAUGUCUCUUCACGUCUUCCCACAGCAUAUUCUUUUCUGUCUCCGGAAGGGCGUACGGAUUAGUGCUUCUGCCCUUCCAUUCUCUGAUGCUGAUAGGCACGUUGUCCCGGACGAUUGCCCCGAUCUGACUCACGUACUUCUUUGCUACUUUCUCGGGAGCAACCGGCCUGCCCUCUUCUGUCACUUCCGUGAUGACAAGCCUCCCUUCCAUCACCUUUGUACAACCUUGGGUCUUCUGCCCUUGUGUCGAUCCGGAGGGCUAACAUUUUAAGAUUCGUUAAUUAGUACGUAGUAGUAACAGUGGCGUGAAACAAUACAAGAAUGGUUAUAUAUACCUCGCCGGAACCUUCCGCCACGGCAAGUUGUUGCUGCGGCUAAUGCUCUUCAUUCCCAUCGGUGGACAUGUUGAGGAACAUGUCCGCCUGGGUGCCCUCUUCAUCCGUGUAUGAUAGUGGAACGUUCUCGCCACUACCAUCACCAGCGAUUAUCUGCUCCAUGAUAUACCUUGCGGUCUCAUUGUCUGCCAUUUCAACUAUUGAUGGAAACAUACAUGGAAUCAUACAUGACAGUCAUAGAAAUCGUCUUACUACAAAUUUCUACAAAGUCCUACAAAGUCCGGAAUCAUACAUGUAUAUAAUGAAAUCAUAAAAUAACAUGAAUCCUACAAAGUCCGGAAUAUUUCUACGAAUUUCUACGAAUUUCUACGAAUUUCUACGUUCUAUGAAUUUCUACGAAUUUCUACGAAUAUCCACAUGCGGUGCCUAGGUUGUGACGGCGGCGAUCAGGGCGGCGGAGGCGGGGACGGUUCCCUGGAACCACGGGCGGUGCCUAGGUUGUGACGGCGGCGGUCAGGGCGGCGGUACGGCGGAGGCGGGGACGGUUCCCCGGAACCACGGGCGGUGCCUACUAGGUUGUGACGGCGGCGAUCACGGCGGCGGGACGGCGGAGGGGACACAUAUACAAAAAUAUAACUUAAAAAAAAUCUAACUUAAAAAAAAAUCUAACUUAAAAAUCUAACUUAAAAAUCUAACUUAACAAUCUAACUAAAAAAUCUAACUUAAAAAUAUAACUUAAUUUUCUAACUUAACAAUCAAAAUUAAAAAUCUAUCAUAAAAAUAUAACUUAAUUUUCUAACUUAAAAAAAAAGCCCUCCCAAUGCUGCCGGCCGGCGCGGCGGCGGACCUCUCGCGCGCGGUCGUCGACGGUGGCCGGGGCGACGAGGGGGCCGGGCGGCGGGACGGCGGCGGCCGGUGCGGCGAGGACGGCGGCCGAGGCGACGACGACGGCGGCGGCGUAGGCGGGACGGCGGCGGCGUAGGCGGGACGGCGACGAGGGGCGACGAGGCGGUGACGAGGAUGGAGGCGGUGACGAGGAUGGAGCCGGCGACGAGGAUGGAGCCGGUGGCCGGAGGCGACGAGGUGGGGGCCGGGCGCGUCGACGGACGAGGAGGAUCGAGGCGGGCCGGCCGGGGGGAUGGAGGACGACGAUGUCUGGGCGCGAUCGGCGGCAGGACGACGACAAACGGCGCAAUGGGGGAUGACGACGGCGGCGGCCGGCGAGGGAGGCGGACGGGCGGCGACGGCGGAGCAGAACGCGUGGAACUUGGCGAAAAUUUUGCUAAGUGUAACUGGCGGGGGGUAGAAGGGAGUACAGUGCCUUUUAAACCCCCCCCUUAUCCCGGUUCGUAAUGGUACCCGGGACAAAAGGGUGCCCCCGCCAGGUGGGGCUGGGAGCGUACCCUUUUAUCCCGGGUGCCACCACCAACCGGGAUAAAAGGGGGGGGGCCUUUUAUCCCGGUUGCAGUUGGCAACCGGGAUAAAAGGGUACGUCCGGGCGGGAGACGAAAAGUACCCUUUUAUCCCGGUUGCCGUUUGCAACCGGGAUAAGCAACCGGGAUAAAAGGGGGCCUUUUGUCCCGGUUGCUGUUAGCACCCGAGACAAAAGGUCUUUUUUCCUAGUUUUCUUCUCCCGCCUGUUUUUUGAAAUGGAUUUUAUUUUAUCUUUUCACUACAUUUCAGGAUGAAAAACAAAACCUUCACAGAUUUUGUACAUGCAAAAAUAUAUUUAAUUAACAAGUAAAUUGACAAUAAGUAUGAAUUAAUCAUUAAUUCUAUACCAGUUCAUUUAGCCUCUAAAAUAUUUAUUUUACUGCGUUGCUGUGAUUAAGAAAUUAUUCAAUUAAAUAAUUUCAAUGCGUAGAAAAAUCCAUGUUUGUAUGUGGUUAACAUUGUUCAUGUUUAUCUAAAAAAUCUUCACCUAACAAAUUUAAGAACACAUGAAAUCAUACAUAGGGUAAAAUUACAAAUUGUAUCGAUUAAUACACAAAGGUCAUGUACAUUUAACGCAUUACAAUACAACGUUGUAAAAUUUCUUCUUCACGAAAGUUCCUUGAUCAUGAUCGCGACGUAAGUACGGAGCCUCUUCUUUGGAUAGCAGGAUGCUUGGAUCAACUUCAACAGCGAAUGGAGGCAUGCCAUCAAACUGAUCAUAAUCAUCUGAUUGGUCUGUUUUAUCCUCGACUCCCACGAUUUUUCUUUUACCUGGAAGAACUAUGUGGCACUUUGGCUCCCAUGUCUCUUCUGGAUUCCUCUUGGGUUUGCUGCACAUGUCCUUCACAUAGAACACCUGAUCCACAUCAUUGGCAAGUACGAAUGGGUCAUCACUGUAUCCAGUCUUGCUCAGAUCUACUAUUGUCAUUCCAUACUGAUCUUUGGUGACGGUAGUUAGCUUCACCCAAUUGCAAAGAAAUAGAGGGAUGUACAGCGGUCCGUAUUCGAGUUCCCAUAUCUCCUGUAUGAAACCAUAAUACGACUCCUUGCUAUUAUUUCUGUCCAUGGCAUCUAUGCGGACACCACUAUUCUGGUUUGUGCUUUUCUGGUCCUGGGCUCUCGUGUAAAAUGUGUAACCAUUUAUCUCAUAGCCUUGGAAUUUGACGAUUGUGCUAGCAGGUCCCCUGGCUAACUAGGCAAGCUGUGGGUGAAUCUCAGAGUUAUCCAUAAGUUGUUGGCGCAACCAGGAGGGAAAAGUUUCCAUGUGAUGACGGGUAAGCCAAGCAUCGGAUUUGGUCGGGUUUUUUGAAGCUACUAUCUGUCUGUGCUGCUCGAUAUACGGAGACACAAAGGAUGACUGUUGUAGAACAGUGUAGUGUGCCUUGUCGAACAAAUCAGUAUCAUUGCUCAAACUUGAUUUCCUUCCAAGGGUGCCCAUUCCUCGGAGCCUCCCCUCGUGGCGUGAAGUUGGAACCCCAAUCGAGUCAAUUGAAUCAAUAAAAUCAACACAAAACUCGAUCACCUCCUCUGUUCCAUAUCCCUUGGCGAUGCUGCCUUCUGGACGGGCACGAUUAAGAACAUAGUUUUUUAGGACUGCUAUGAACCUCUCGAAAGGCCACAUAUUGUGCAGGUAUACAGGUCCGAGAAUACCAAUCUCUUUUACUAGGUGAACCAGUAAGUGCGUCAUAAUAUUGAAGAAGGAUGGUGGAAAUAACAACUCAAAACUGACAAGACAUUGCACCACAUCGUUCUGUAGCUUUGAUAGCUUGGAUGGAUCGAUUGCCUUCUGCGAAAUCGCAUUGAGAAACGCGCAUAGCUUUACGAGCGGCAACCGGACAUUUUCUGGUAGAACACCCCUCAAUGCAACCGGAAGCAACUGGGUCAUCAACAUGUGGCAGUCAUGAGCCUUGAGAUUUGUUAACUUAUUUUGUUUCAUAUUUAUUAUUCCAUUUAUAUUCGAGGAGUACCCAGACGGGACCUUCAUACUAUUCAAGCAUUCAAACAUGCUAUCCUUCUCUUCCUUGCUGAGAGUGUAACUGGCAGGACGUAAGUAGUGCUGUCCAUUAUCUCUCUUUUCCGGAUUUAGGUCAUCUUGUUGCCCCAUGGCUUUCAGGUCCUGUCGUGCUUCCAAUAUAUCUUUUGAGGUUACAUAAACACCCAUGAAGCCUAGCACGUUCACGCAAAGAUUCUUCGUCAGGUGCAUCACGUCUAUUGCGUUGCGAACCUCUAGGAUUUCCCAAUAAGGUAGCUCCCAAAAUAUUGACUUUUUCUUCCACAUGGGUGCAUGUCCGUUAUCGUCGUUCGGAACAGGUUGGCUACCAAGUCCCUUUCCAAAGACUACAUUUACAUCCUUCAUCAUCUCGAACACACGCUUUCCAUUACGGUGUGCAGGUUUUUUACGAUGGUCUGGCGCCCCUUUGAAAUGCAUCCCGCUCUUUCUCAGCUGGUGGUGAGCAGGGAGAAAUCGACGAUGACCCAUAUAGACGACCUUCUUACAGUGCUUCAAGUACAUGCUGUCUGUGUCAUCUAAACAGUGGGUGCAUGCCCGAUAUCCCUUAUUUGUCUGUUCUGAAAGGUUACUCAAUGCAGGCCAAUCGUUGAUGGUUACGAACAACAAUGCUCGUAGAUUAAAGAUCUCUUGUCUAUCCUCAUCCCACACACGUACACCUUCUUCCUUCCAGAGCUGUAAAAGGUCAUCAACCAACGACCUUAGGUACAAGUCAAUGUCAUUGCCGGGUUGUUUUGGGCCUUGGAUAAGCGCCGGCAUCAUAAUGAACUUCCGCUUCAUGCACAGCCAAGGAGGAAGGUUGAACAUACAAAGGGUCACAGGCCAAGUACUAUGGCCACUACUCAACUCACCGAAUGGAUUGAAUCCAUCAGUGCUUAAACCAAACCUUAUGUUCCUUGCUUCACUUUCAAAGUCUGGGAAUGUUCUAUCAAUUGAUCUCCACUGUGCCCCAUCUGCGGGGUGUCUCAGCAUCUCAUCUUCCUUACGGUCUUCUUUGUGCCAUCGCAUCAACUUAGCAUUCGCCUUGUUCCUGAAUAAGCGCUUCAAGCGUGGUAUUAUAGGGAAAUACCACAUCACCUUCGCGGGAACUCUCUUCUUGGGAGACUGCCCCUCGACAUCACCAGGAUCAUCUCGCCUGAUCUUAUACCGCAGGGCUUCGCAGACGGGACAAGCAUCCAAUUUCUCGUAUUCAUCACCACGAUAGAGGAUACAAUCAUUAGGGCAUGCGUGUAUCUUCUGAACAUCCAAUCCGAGAGGGCAAAUAAUCUGUUUAGCUUCAUAUGUUGUGGACGGUAAUUCAUUAUUCUCGGGGAGAAUCUUCUUGACAAUGUUCAACAUCCCCUGAAAUGCCUUAUCGGACACACUAUUUUUUGUCUUCCAUUGCACAAAUUCUAGUGUCGUACCUAGUUUUUUAUGGCCCUGCUGGCAACCUGGGUACAACAAUUUUUGGUGAUCAUCUAUCAUGCGCUGCAACUUUGCUACUUCCUUCUCAGUUUUGCAAUCUCUGUAUGCAUCUCGUAUCACCUGACGAAGGUCAUCAGUAGGGCCAUUUUCUGCAAACUCAUCUUCAUCAGCCUCGCCCAUUGUAGUACCUACAAAAGCUUGGCCUGCAACCCAGUCCGGAAUGGUGUCAUCUUCCUCCUCCUCCUCGCCAUCUUCCAUUACAACCCCUAGUUCACCGUGCUUGGUCCAAACCAAAUAGUUAGGCAUGAAACCGUAUUUAAACAAGUGGCUGUGAAUAGUCCCCCAGCUUUCCUUUGAAUACUCCUUCCUGUUAUUGCAUUGGAAGCAUGGACACAUACGAACCUAUUCUCUGGCUUGUUCGCUUUUGCCAUUUCGAGAAAAUAUGCAAGCCAUCAAUAAACGUCUUGCUCCGCCUGUCUGCNNNNNNNNNNNNNNNNNNNNNNNNNNNNNNNNNNNNNNNNNNNNNNNNNNNNNNNNNNNNNNNNNNNNNNNNNNNNNNNNNNNNNNNNNNNNNNNNNNNNAACAUAUUGAAGGAGAAGGACAUACCUCCUUCUCGUCGGUAAAUCACGCGGGUUAGCCUCUGAGCCAGGUAUAUUGUCCAGUCGAUGCAGAAGGGAUCACAGUUGUUACCUAAGUCUAGUUUAGCCGCGGAGCUCAGCUUCAACCCGGAUUAAAGGUGAACCACCUUUUAUCCCGGUUGGAGCCUCCAACUGGGAUAAAAGGGUCCCGCCACCAACAGCUCCCCACUAGCCGUUGCAACCGGGACUAAAGGGGGGCCUUUAGUCCCGGUUGCAAUUACCAACCGGGAGUAAAUCUUCCCUCCAUUUUUGCCUACCGUGGCGCACCCCCUUUUGUCCCGGGCCAACUUUAAACCGGGACAAAAGGGGACGGAUCGAAAACCAAUUCUCUACUAGUGUCUAUUCCACAAAACCAUAAUUGUUCACCGGCUCCAGCAUUGCUGUUGCUCUCCACCAAUGGAGGAAGCUCUUGUCCUUGGCACCACCUUAUCCACUGACCAGCUGAAGUUAUCUGUACGUCCUAAGGUCUCAUAAGAUUUUUGAUGAAUUUGCAUUAAUACUAAUAUUGCCACCAAUCUAGUCUCAACCUUGCCUCGUGUUCUCCGUGGUCAUGUUUUAUUCUAACUUGCAAGCCCUACAACUACAUAUGAUGGUUCUUCUAUAUGCAUAAUAUAUCGCAUCUCCUAAGACAUAUCGCGGGCCGGCGGCGCGCGGGGGAGCGGUGCCAGCAGAGCGGAGGCGACCGGCGGUGGGCAGAGGUGGGUGGGUGCGGGUGCGGGCGAAGGCGGAGGAGCAUGUGGGCAGAGGCGGGUGGGCGUGGGCGGAGGCGGAGGCGGAGGCUGGCGUGGGCGUGUGCGGAGGCGGAUGGGUGGAGGCAUGCAGCGGCGGUGGGCAGAGGCGGGCGGGCGCAGGUGAGUGGCAGCUGGGCCAGCGGCGUGGGCGGAGGCGGAGACCGGCAGCGGUCGGGCGGCGCGGGCGGGCGGCCGGCGAGCGUGGCGCUUCUUUUUUUUUCCAAAUUUUUUAGUCCCGGUUAGUGGUUGGUAACACCAACUAGGACUAAAGGGGGCCUUUAGUUCUGGGUGGAUGACCUGGAACUAAAGACCUCCUUUUUUAUCUCGAAAAAUUUAUCUCGGACGGCUUUUAGAGAGAUGUGAGCGUAUCCAAUUGGGACUAAAGGUGAGUUUUCCACCAGUGAAUGCAGAGCAGGCUCAUCCUAAAUGGUGACACCAUGCUGAUCACGCAAUUUAUCAUUAUUUUAUCGACCUCAUCCGUGUUUGUCUUUUACCAUCUAUAUAGUAUGGUUAGUCAACGGCAUGCAGUACACCCAUGCAUAUGAUUGCAGUAGGAUAACAUAGCGCGACCAGAACUGACGCAGUUUGCCAGUUUUAGAUUCGUAUACACGGCCAACUUACGCAGCAGAGAGUUGCAUGCUAAGCAGUUCAGCGUAGGUGGUGAGUUCUCAACUCUGAUAUGGCUUAUGGAAGAACACUGUCACGGUGUCACCUAGCCGGUUGGAGGCCAACCUCUUACUAGGGACAGCAAUGGCCCUGUCCGGCCACUGUUUCGUGGCUGGUAUUAUUACCCCUAUGCAGUGAAUAUGACAUGUGGAUCUAUGUGUAUAUUAUGUCGUCGAAAGAACAUUAUAUGAACCGUUGAGCCACCUUUGAUUCUAUCAAUGUGUCAUGGUCAAUUGAUGUCAAACUCUAUUAUCUUCAAGUCUUAUUGUAUUGAAAAAAUCACGAUGCUCUGCUACUGCCAUUUUGAUGUUUAUAAAAGGGUAUUGAGAACCUGGUGGGUAUCCAUUCGAUGCGCUGGGGUGGGGGUGGGGAAAAAUGAGUGUAAAGGACAGGGAUACAGUAUUUAGAAGGAUGGGGCUGCCACAGAAGAUAGUCUCCAAGUAUGGCAGGGAAGAAUCUAAAACUGAAUCCUUGAUCAAGACUGUCCCAUAUUCAUGAAUAGUUCACUGACAGAUCUUGCUUCCAUAUUCUGAACAGCUGAUGCUGGGCACAUAGGAGGUUAACCGGUCAGCGGAUCGAAGAAAAAAAAAUUCUUGCCUGUCAGUGUCCACAAUGGCCUCAGCUUGGGUUAGAGACAAUCAUCCCUAAAGAAUCAUAUUGCCGGAUAAGGUUAUCUGUGAUUGGUGGGUGCAGAUCCAUACUCAUCCUAGAAACAAGCCAGGGCUGAAUAUGCCACUCAUUUUAGGUGCUUUGAUGUUGUGGUCACACCGAAAUGAUCAUGUGUUUAAUAAAGUUUCCUAUAGUGACUGGCGUGCAGGCUGUCCUCGUAUUCGAGAAAAAAAAUCAAUGGGCGAAAUAUUUUCACCCAGGUAAUUGUUGCAUUGUAUGAAUAGGCUUAGAUACCUGGUUAGAGUAUGAAUGUGCGUGUACCGUGACACAAGAAGAUUUAUCAUAUCCAUGUAUGAAUUAGUGUUAAAUCUGCUACAUAAAUAUCUUCUCUUAUCUCAUUGUAUGUGUAUAUAUGACACAGAAGCACAUGUAUAUUGGCAUUGUAGAGAGAGAUGAGAGAGAGAAGCUUAUCUGCUUUUUGGAGAUAAAUAUUCAAAUUACUGGUGUAUGAGAGGGAUAUAAUUAUUCUAUCAAAUUGUUUAUUCAACAUGUAAAAAGAUUCCAUGUUUAGUCAUCUAUAUCGGCAUUGUAGAGAGAGACUAGUGUUCAGCUGGUUGGAAGGAUGAGAGAGAGAGGAGAGAGUUCGGAUGAGAGAGAGACUAGUGUUCAGCUGGUUGGAAGGAUGAGAGAGAGGAGAGUUUGGAUGAUAGAGAGAUUAGUGUUCACCUGGUUGGAAGGAUGAGAGGGAGAUGAGAGAGUUCGGAUGACGAGGUGGAGAGUUCGGAAGAGAGAGAGGUGAGAGUUCGGAUGAGAGAGAAAGCAGCUUAGAAGGAUGAGAGAGAAAGUGGUAUUCAGCUGGAUGGUGGAGACUUCAUAUAUUACUAACUAGCAAGGUGUCCGUGCGUUGCUAUGGUGAAACGACGUUGCUUAGCGCGCGAUGCUUUUUAUCAUGUCGUGUAGCAUACCACAUUUUUUAUCGUGCUGUGGAACUUUUCUAUUUUAGUAGUAUUAGACUUUUCAUAUAUAAGGGGCCACAUGAGUGUGUCCAUAUCCUAACCGUGAGGAGACCGCUUGCCAUGGAACUUGUUAUCUCUUUCUCUAUCUUGAGAUUGGUAGGCUUCUACAGCAAUUCUGCACAAAAAAGGCCCCACUUCGCCCCACUUCGCCUCGCUCUCGCUGUCCGGUUAGUCCCGCGCCUACCCUCUCCCUCUCCGAUCCUCGCCGCUAGCUCCUCGGGGUCCAAGUCGGGCCCGUGAUGUAGCGGCCUGUUAUCCUUCCACCGUUGGAAGCGGGCAGUGAUCGCUGCUCUGUGAACCCAGCCUCACGCCAUUCCUACCACUUCAGGUCCAGUGAAGCCCGAGCUUUUGCUUGGGCCGAACAGGCCACUACCAACUUGGAGCAGGCAAGGCCAGCAAGGGCACACAAUAGACCCAAGCCCAGAGUCCACACCCAAACAUCCACACCACCUUAAUACCCCCACUUGGGUUACAAGCCCGCGCAACCAAGCUCGAUGAGGAUGGCUCGUGAGGACGAACAUUUGAGCUGGUGCGGCGCUGCUUCAGAUGGCGAGGUGGUACUAAUCUAAGGAAUAGGAAAAUUUCACGUGGGUCCCACACCGCACCUACCCCUAUCCUUAUCCUUUCUCAUCUCUCUACCGUUCAUCCGGUCCUUAUCCUCCUCAUCUCAUCUCUCUCUCUCUCUCUCUCUGUCUCUCUCUCCCUCUCUCGCUCUCAAACUCUCUAUCUCUCCUAUCCCCUCUUUCUCUGGAGAACGCGGUGCACGGCUGGCCCCAGCGGCGGCCUGGGGGCGCGGGUGCUGGCGGCAGCCGAGGGUUGCGGGGCUGCGGCGAGGAGCCUCCUGGCCGUGGAUGCGACGGCCUAGCCACGGGUGCCGGGCCGCAUCGCACCGCGCGCUGCUGCCACCGAGUAGGCUGCACGCACUGCCUGCACACCAGGCGGGGUGGGCGGCCAGGGCCGAGCGGCGCGGCCGGGGCCGGGGAGGUGACUCUGGCGCGGCCGAGGCGGCUUGGGCGCGGCCAGCUGUUGUGGGUAGGGAGAGGUGGACAGCGGCGCAUGGCGGUGUGGAGAGGCGGACGUGGGGCACGAACGGGUGAAAGGGGAGACGGGGAAAGAAAGCUGGACCCACCUAGCAAUGCAGCCGGGGCCGGGGCCAGGGUAGCGCGGGUGGCCGAGGCCGAGGCCGAGGCCAGGCGGCGCAGUCGGGGCUGGGGAGGCGGCUUUGGUGCAGCCAGCCGUGGCGGGCAGGGAGAGGCGGAGAGUGGCGCAACGGCGGCGUGGAGAGGCGGACAUCAGGCACGGGCGGGUGAAAGGGGAGACAGGGAAAGAAAGCUAGACCCACCCGUCAAUGCAUUAAUCUUACCUAUUAUUAAACAUCAGGGCCACCUCUCGUUGAUAGAAGUUGGACCAAACCAAAAAAAGUGGGCAGAAGUGUUCCUUACUUUAAUAAUAAUAAUAAAGUAUAGAUAAUGCAUCCAAACAACAUUUGGAAUUUAAUUCUAAGAAAAACUUUCUCAGUACAUCCAAACUAGAAAAUUCAAUUGAAUAAAAUUCUACGGAAUGCAUUUCUUAUGGAAUCUAAUUGGUAGAAUAUGAUUUAUGGGAUGAGUUUCAACUCUAGGGAUCCAAAUAGGCUCUUAGUUAUUUCUUAUGUAGCUCAAAUCAGAAGGAAGGUACGUCCAAACUAAAAAACGUAAGUUACUUUGUGUUAUCUUGUGAAUCAGUGAUUAAUUACUUCCAAUCUUAUGUAAAAAGAACUACGAGUCAAAUUCUUUGUCAGAUUUAUACUGACAAGUUACAAGCACAUGCCUCUGCAGUAACAGGCCAGCCCUAGACUAGUGGGCAAACCAAAAACAACAUGAUUCGUCAACUGAUCGAAUGCUAAUGACUAUUUUGCUAGGAGAAUGAACAUGAUUCAUACAAAGCAGGGGAGCUACUAACUUGGUCAAGGUCUCCGUCCUCUAGCUACUAACAUGAUUCAUACAAAGAAGGGGCCAUCUUGCUCCACUCCACGUCUGCGUGGUUGCUCGGCGGGCGCGACGGUGUCGGCUGCGGAGUGCGGACGGCGCGUAGAUAUGUCAUUGUUGAUCAGGACAUGCACUUCUAUCACAGUCUGUGGUUGGCGUCCACGGCCGAGCGGGUCAAGGUCUCCGUCCUCUAGCGUGGGGAAACAGGAUCUCUUCAAUCAGUGCUUCUACAGAAACGGUGCACGGUCACCACGGACCAACGACAUACCAUGAGAAAAGCAGAGCUAAAUGUUGCAGUAGCAGAGUAACCGGAGACUGGAGAGCACUUGCUGCUAAAAGCUGCCUCUUAUUUUGUAUCGUCUUAACCGAAGACUUUAAGUCAACCGCCAUUCGAUUCCAAUAUAAACUAGCAAGUUGGUCCGCGAUAAUAGCGCGGCUAGAUUUGAUACAGUAUAAUUUUUUUAAAUGCUAUGUUAGCUUAGUAUAUUUCUUUGUCCCUCUUGAUUUGUUUUUCAUCCUCUUGAAAUCACUGAGUAUACUUAGGUGCCUUACUCUACACAUUGAGUAUCAAGCCAUAUAUGUAUAUUUUUUUUUUGCAAAUGAACUCCGAUGCCACAUGCGCAUAUGCACGCCUAAUUAAAAUUGCUCACUUGUAAAAAAAUAAGAACAACUUGAGUAGUUGAUUCUGAUCUUAUGUUGCAGUUUUUGCCAACUUUUCCUAGUAUUAUUGUGUUGAGUAGAAAGCCUGUGUAGAGAAAGAUCCAAAACAAACAAUCGUGUCAACUACUCCCCAUGCUUGCUCAAAUAAUUUUGAAAAAAAAAACAACCGCGCUCUAAGUCCUAGGGAGGUGAUAUUCCUCCUUACUUUCCUCCUCUCGUUUUCCUUGCACAAUCGAGGAUGACAAAUACCACAAACCACUUAGGCUCUAUCAUGUUUCAUCAUCACAUUCCUCAAAUCUUGAUCACGUUGUUGUCUUCAUUAUGUUAACAGUACACAUCUCUCCGCCUCUUCUAUUCCACAAAACCAUAAUUGUUCACCGGCUCCAGCAUUGUUGUUGCUCUCCACCAAUCGAGGAAGCUCAUGUCCUUGACAUCACCUUAUCCACUGACCAGCUGAAGUUAUCUGUACAUCCUAAGGUCUCAUAAGAUUUUUGCUGAAUUUGCAUUAAUAUUAAUAUUGCCACCAAUCUAGUCUCAACCUUGCCUUGUGUUCUCGGUGGUCAUGUUUUAUUCUAACUUGCAAGCCCUACAGCUACAUAUGAUGGUUCUUCUAUAUACAUAAUACAUCGCAUCACUUAAGACAUAUAUCGCGGGCCGGCGGCUCAUGGGGGAGCGGCGCCGGCGGAGCGAAAGCGACUGACGGUGGGCGGAGGCGGGUGGGUGCGGGCGGAGGCGGAGGCCGGUGCGGGCGCGUGCGGAGGUGGAUGGGUGGAGGCGUGCAGCGGUGGCGAGUAGAGGCGGGCGGGCACGGGCGAGUGGCAGCUGGGCCAGCGGCGGCCGGGCGGCCGGCCGGUGAGCGUGGGGCUUUUUUUUAUUUUUUUUCAAAAUGUUUUAGUCCCGGUUCGUGGUUGGUACCACCGACCGGGAUUAAAGGGGAAGACCCCGUCUUUUGUCUCGAAAAAUUUAUCCCGGAUGGUUUUUAGAGAGAUUUGAGCCUACCCAACCGGGACUAAAGGUGAGUUUUGCACCAGUAAUGCAGAGGAGGCUCAUCCUAAAUGGUGACACCAUGCUGAUCAUGCAAUUUAUCAUUAUUUUAUCGCCCUCAUGCAUGCUGUGCAUGAUUGAUAUUAGUAUUGGGCAGCUUAGAUUCCUCAGCGCAUCAUGCUGCUCAGCCAUGGAGGUCAAGGCAUCAAUAUUGUCCAUAUCACAACGUCUCUGCUUUCUCUUGUUGUCCUCCCCCUUCCCUCUACAUUGCACCUUCUUGUUUUCCUGAUCCUAUUGCCAGUUUGUUGCAGCCAUUUAUGGGCACCUCUUUCGUCCAUUGUCCACUGUUGUUGCCCGCUGCCUCAGUUCUUCUCUAACCAAAGCGGUCGUAUCGCGCUGGUCGGUAGGAAGCCAUCGUCUCACAAAAGCAUCGUCGUGAUCGCCAAACCACAUCUAGCCGAUGCCGAACCAUACUUGCCAUCUUCUUUGCCAACUUGCCGCUAUGGAAGCCUCCAUGCAUCGCUCCUCGAGUCUAUCCUAUCUCUAUCAGCUCCUGUGGUAUCCUGUUUUGUUUUUGCCUCAACCACGAAGCCAUAGGUAGCUGGUGCUAAAUUGCAGGGCCAGCAACAGCUAUUUCCUCUCCCUGGCCUUGCGGCCAUGCUAUGUAUUUUUCUCUCUCAAAAAAAAUUCCAAUGAUUUAAUUCUAAUGUUCCGAUCAUGUGUGAUUGGUUUAUUAAUUAAAGUUAUAGUUAUACACGAGUAUAUUAUAAAAAAAUAAUAUAUAUAUAAGUUACCAUACAAAGUACAACUUCCAAUAAGGUGGAGAGGUUCGGAUGGAAUUUUGAUUCAACUUACUCUAUUCUAGAUAUUAGAGUUGUACUAGCAAAAUAUCCAUACAUUGCUAUAGCAAAAUAUCCGUACAUUUGCUACGGUAAAAGAUCAAUUGUGUUUUUCAAACUAAUAAUAUUUUUUAUUUUCAUCACUAAAGUUUUAUUCCACUUAUUGGAUGUCCACACAUUUAAUAGAAAACUAAAAGAAUUUUAACUAAUUAUUUCCUUCAACUCAAAUACCAAUUAAAUUAAAAUAUUUUUUUAUUCAAGCAAGAGAGUUAAAUCAGCCUCCGAUGGCCAUCGAUGAGGGGCUCUUUAGUCCUGGUGAGUAAUAUCAACCGGGACUAAAGAACCCCUUUAGCCCCGGUUGUAAAAGUUAGUGGCCUCGGGAUUCUGUUGGGGCGUUUUGUCCCGGUUGCAACUACCAACCGGGACUACGCUCCCCGCCUCCACACACACAAUGUGCGUGCCUCACUUUCUCUCCUCCCUCUCCUUAAUUCCAGUACCCAAGCCUCCUCUCCUUAAUUCCAAUACCCACAUGCCUCCUCUCCUCCUCCCUUCGGCCCCUGCCUCCUCUCCUCCCUCUCCUUCUCCUCCGCUAGAUCCGGCCAACCCCCAUUCCCUCUUCCAAGCUCCUCCCUCUCCCUCGACCGAGGCGGGCGGCGGGCGCAGGUCGGGUGGCGCGGCUGGGGCCGAGGCGGCGUGGGCGGCCGGGGGUCAGGGAGGAUGAUAGGUGGUUACGAGGAUGAUACCUGCAGACAAUACUUUUAGUCCCUCAAUUUUUUCUGAGAAUUGCACUGUGAGCUGCGCUUUCAUUUAUGUCACACCGCUCAGCAAAAAAAACGGUGCAAAUCGACCAAAAUAAAUGAAUAAAUCACACGGUUUAGACUGGUGGCAUCUGUAUGUUUGAUGAGUUUUGAAUCCCAACAGACCUCUGUUUGCUUAUCCAACAGGAGGAAAAAACUUUACUUACUAAAUCAGCUUUGCAUGCCAGGCUGCAAUUGUUAGAGCAGAAUUGGGUAAUUUGUGAACAUAAUUGAAUCAAAGUUUUGUCUCAGACUAGUAAUAGAAAAUGGUAAUGCUCCACAGCUAGAACACGUUCCUACACUAGUUUAAAAAAUUCCCUGAAAUUGGCGACAAUGGUCAAGCUCAAUGUCAAAGUCAAAAAUUCCUACACACGUUCCUACCAUACUUGGAACUUGGAAGGCCGCUGGUCGAUGUCAAAGUCAAAAACAGAAGCAGACAGCGACGUCUCACCAGAUCACGAAUCAGAUGCGAUGCAUGUGCAUGUUCAGCAAGACAUUGAAAAGCAAGCUCUGUCUGGCAGCAGCUCUUCAAUACGCUCCAGCCCAUCUCUACCAUGGCAUUGGCAAUGCGCGUCAUGAGCUUGCUUCCUGCCACCAUCGCCGUGAUGAUCGCAGCGGCCUCCUGGGGAGCGCACGGCGGUGCCAGCGACGAGGCCAGCGCGCUACUUGCUUUCAAGGCUGAGCUCGCCGGCAGCGGCUCCGGCAUGCUUGCAUCCUGGAAUGGCACCGCUGGCGUCUGCGGCUGGGAGGGCGUGGCGUGCACCGGCGGCCAGGUGGUGGCACUGAGCCUGCCCUCCUAUGGGCUCGCCGGAGCCCUCUCCCCGGCCAUUGGGAACCUCACUUUCCUGCGGACCCUGAACCUGAGUUCCAACUGGUUCCAGGGGGAGGUCCCAGCAAGCAUCGGCCGCCUAGCGCGUCUGCAGACGCUUGAUCUGAGAUACAAUGCGUUCUCUGGUACGCUUCCUUCCAACCUCAGUUCCUGUGUCAGCUUACUGCUGUUAGAUCUCAGCAGUAACCGGUUCCAUGGGCGUAUCCCUGUUGAGCUUGGAGACAAGCUAACAAGUCUUCAGAAGUUCUCACUGGGCAACAACAGCUUGACGGGUGCCAUACCAGGAUCACUAGGUAACCUGUCAUCCCUGAUCUACCUUGAUCUGACAGAAAACCACCUCGAGGGUCCGAUCCCACAUGAACUUGGCAGCAUGGGCGGCCUGCAGGUCCUUUUCCUCUAUGAGAACAGACUCUCCGGUGUGCUUCCACACUCCCUGUACAAUCUGUCCUCACUGAAAAACUUGGUGGUAGGAAACAACAUGCUGUCUGGAACCAUCCCUGCUGAUAUCGGCGAUAGGUUCGCCGGUAUGGAAGUUCUUGACUUUAGUAGCAACCGAUUCAGUGGAGCUAUCCCACCUUCGCUCGGCAACCUCUCUGCUCUCACGUUACUAAACCUUCCAGGAAAUGAUUUUAUUGGAUAUGUGCCUUCUGCUUUGGGGAAGUUGCAAAGUCUUACUGACCUGUUCUUGAGUGACAACAGGCUAGAAGCAAACGACAGUCAAGGGUGGGAAUUCAUCACUUCACUGGCAAACUGCUCCCAGCUUCAGUAUCUUGUUCUCGGCAACAACUCUUUCAGCGGGCAACUGCCUAAUUCAGUCGCAAACCUGUCAUCAACUCUGCAACAUCUUUAUUUGGGAGACAAUAUGAUUUCUGGGAAUAUUCCAAUAAACAUCGGAAAUUUGGUUGGUCUUACAGUACUUGAUAUGGCAAAUACUUUAGUAUCUGGACAGAUUCCAGAGAGCAUUGGUCAGCUAAGAAACUUGGUUGGGUUAGGCCUUUACAACACUAGCUUGUCAGGCCUCAUACCUUCAUCACUAGGAAAUCUUACACAGUUGAAUAAUCUUUAUUUAUACUAUGGAAACUUAGAGGGGCCAAUUCCAUCAAACUUGGGGAACUUAAAGAAUGUGUUUGCCUUUGAUCUCUCAACAAAUCGACUCAAUGGUUCAAUUCCUAUAGAGGUUUUAAAACUUCCUCGACUUUCCUGGUACUUAGACUUAUCAUAUAAUUCACUAUCCGGGCCACUUCCAACUGAGGUUGGUACCAUGGUGAAUCUUAACGAACUGAUUCUGUCUGGAAACAAGUUCUCAGGCACCAUACCAGCUAGUGUUGGGAACUGUAUAUCGUUGGUAAAGCUGCUGCUCGAUAACAACUUAUUAGAAGGAAGCAUACCUCAAUCUCUGAAGAACUUAAAAGGUCUUGCAUUACUGAACCUAACAAUGAAUAAGCUAUCUGGUAGUAUUCCUGAUGCCCUUGCUAGCAUUGGCGACCUGCAACAACUGUAUCUUGCACACAACAACUUGUCAGGUUCCAUCCCCAAAGUUCUACAGAAUUUGACAUUGUUGGCAAAACUGGAUUUGUCCUUCAAUGAUUUGCAAGGCGAAGUGCCAAAAAGGGGUCCUUUUGCAAAUGCAACUC
rnacentral:lncRNA from 1 species